UAAAUAUAUGGAGCCUUUUUUGCUACGUCUAGAUGUUGAUUUGUUUGCGUUCAUGCCUUUUUAGGUGUUGAUUUGUUUGUUUUCAUUCCUUUUUAGCAUGUGGAGACCUCAAGAACGGUUGAGGAUUAAAAUCUACAAGUGCUUAGAACGACCAAUAAUUCAGGAUAACCUAAUUUCACGAGUUUUCUUUCUAUUUGAUUUUUUGAGAUUUGAUCAUGAAGCAUAAGGAUUGAAUUGUCAUUUGUUUUAUGAUGCCUCUCUUUGUUUUGAAUGUCUUAUUGUCUCUAUACUUCAACAUUAUGAGCCGUUGUAGCCUUCCUGAAUUCUUGGGGUGUACAGUACAUGACAAACAUGCAUCAGAUGUUAGGUAGGACAGAUGUGAGUAUCCUUGAAGCUUGAAUACUGGCAGGAGAUCCUUGAAGCUCUAGGUUUUGGUAUCCACACAUAUUUUUUCUUUAACUGGAACUGGCUCUUUCAAUUUCUCUGGUUUUUUAAUUCCUUCAAUUCAUUAAUUCAUCUUAUGCUUUCUUAAAUUCUUGGUCUUUAUUACCAAUAUCUAUUUGAAUUUAAAUAUAGUUCUUAAAUUUUUUAUGUAUAGGUGUUGAUUCGUUUUUGUUCAUUCCUUUUUAGCAUGUAAGACUGGUUGAGGAUUAAAAUCUGGUAGUGUACACGAAAAACAAGCAACGGAUGUGAGGUAGGAUAUCUAAAUACUGGAAAGAGAUGCUUGAUUCUGUAGGUUAUCCAUACUCUUUGAUGACAGAUGCCUACUUGAGUUUGGAUGUAGUUAUUUAUUUGAUGACAAAGAUCUAUCAUAUGUAACUUUGUGUUAAUUCCUUUUCAGCAGGGGAUUCUGGUUGAGGAUUAAAAAACAUAAAUUUGAAUAUUGUUUUUGUCUGAUUACUGAAAUAUGUCAAAUCUAGCUUUUUGAUCUGUGAAUAUGUUGAUUCUUUUCUAGCAAAUAAUGCUCAGGGAAGAUGUCUCCUCUUUAUUUGAAACUUUGUAGAUUGAGCAUAUUUUUCCAGACUGAUAUGUGAGCUAGGAUGUGGAAACACUUGCCAGGGGAUUUGUGAAGCUUUAGGUUUUGUUACCCUUACAUUUCUUGUGUCUUUAUUUGUGACUGACUAAACUUCUUGUUUGGAUUCUAAGUUUUGGUUGGAUUCAUUGCUAACCUUGUAGUUUGACUGGCAGUCUUGCAGUUCUUGUGGGUUUAGAGGUCGUGUAAUUUGGGGAGGAUUUGUCUGGCAGAAUUUCUAACCACUUAAUAUGAAGUACUGAAUUAAUAAUAGUGAAAAAAAGAUAAAGAAAAUAUAUCAUGGUCAUUAAAAGUUUAUGUUUCUUGUUCUGUUCAGCCAUGCCACUUGUCAGUGAACUCUUGCUUCUUUCUCUAUUGCUGCAUAUGCAUUUGUGACUGACUAAACUUCUUGUUUGGAUUCUAAGUUUUGGUUGGAUUCAUUGCUAACCUUGUAGUUUGACUGGCAGUCUUGCAGUUCUUGUGGGUUUAGAGGUCGUGUAAUUUGGGGAGGAUUUGUCUGGCAGAAUUUCUAACCACUUAAUAUGAAGUACUGAAUUAAUAAUAGUGAAAAAAAGAUAAAGAAAAUAUAUCAUGGUCAUUAAAAGUUUAUGUUUCUUGUUCUGUUCAGCCAUGCCACUUGUCAGUGAACUCUUGCUUCUUUCUCUAUUGCUGCAUAUGCAUUUUUUUCGCAAUUUUUACUCAUUUUUUUUAGGUUGUCCAUUUCUAAGUAAUUUAGGCUUCUCAUAGCUUUUACGAGUCCUGGAUUUAUAGUGAAAUUUGACCCUUUUACAUGGAGCAAUUGAAAUUAAGGAGAGAAUUAUUGAUCUUUAGUUUUAUAGUACUGAAUUAAUUUUGGAUUUGCUUAGGUGUAGCAAAUUUGAAAGGUCAUUUUCUUAGUUAUUACUUCAUUUACUAAAUUAUCAAGAGCAUUGGACAAUUUGAUUUUGUAGUGUUUUGUUUGCUGCAUUGACAAAUGAAUCUUGCAUUCUAUUGUUUUUAGUAGUUUUGGAUUACAUUCUGAAUAUGACAUAUGAUGAUCUCUUCUAUCUUCCAAAAUGUGAAUGAUCUCCAACAUUAGAGUUGUAUUUAGUUCUAUGUCCAAUGUGAGAAUGAGAAAAUUGAGAGCUCUAUUUAGUUUUAUUCCAAUUAUCUCUCUAAUAUGAGAAUGAGAUACAACAGUAGUUGGAAUGUUUUCUUGCAAUCUUCCUGUGCUAUGAUUCAGUUCUCUCUCCAUAUAUAGAAUAAGAAAAUGAGAAAGAGAAACAAGAAUAUUUGUCAUGUUUUGUCGUAAUCUUCUUGCACUAUGAUUCGGUUCUCUCCCAAUAUACCAAUGAGAAAAUGAGAAACAACAAUAUUUGGAAAGUUUUGUCGUAAUCUUCUUGCGCCAUGAUUCGGUUCUAUCCCCAAUAUGCGAACGAGAUGAGAAACAACAGUGUAUGAGAGCUCCAUUUAGUUCUAUCUCCAAUAUGAGAAUUGGAAAACAACAGUACAUGAGAGUUCUAUUUAGUUUUAUCUCUAAUACGAUAAAGAAGAGAAACAAAAGUAUUUGGAUUGUUCUCUUUGUAAUCUUCGUGUGCUAUGAGCAACGCCUACCCUCGAGGCUAUGGUAACGGGUGAUGCCUCUCUAUUCCAACAUGAGAGCUCUAUAUAUUUCUUUCGGGUUGGGGUCUCAAUUUAUGAUACCAUGUGGAAGCAGACACCAUCUUUUUGCCGACUAUAUUUCUUAGUCUUGCUGAUUUUGCCAUGCUGAACUUGGUUUUCUUGAAUUGCCAUGCUUCUUAAACUUUUACAGUAAGGCAAUAGAUAUGUGGGGGCAGGUUUUGGAAACAGUGGAUGGAGAUCUCGUGAAACUUUAGAUUUUAUUAUCUUUGCAUAUUCAUUAUUUUCUUUGAUGGCUAAACUUGUGGAUUGGGAGUUCUUGUAAACAGGCACUACGUGAGUUUGAGAGGCUUUGGCAUUUGUGUUGUUAGGCCUUCGAUCCUGAUGAUUUGAUAAUCUGUUGCAGUGAAGACUUUAUGGAUGUUUGUUACCCAGUUACGGUACAUCAUUGGACUUACAUUUCCAUUUCAUUAUUUUUUUAUAUCCAUGAUUUGGUUGUGGUAUCUCUUAUUGGUUGAAUAGUGGGAAGGCACAUGUGACAGUAGUUGUGUGUGUCUAAGCAAGUGCGAUAGUUGAUUCCGAACAUUAUGAUCAUUGAAGUUACCCUUGACUAGUCUAUGUUAGUUUUUUUUAUAUGAUAUACAAGUACAUCCAUCCUUUGUUAACAACAAUCCUUUUGAAAUAGGAUUUGUUUAAGCGCUAGUUUCGGCACGAAUAUGCAAGUUCAACUUGAAACCAGUUCAUGAUAACCUAAUUUCUUCUGAGGUUCCAGCUUUUAUUAGUUUUCAUUCGGAGUAUGUACAAGUUUGAAAAGGUAUCAUUGUGUUGAUAUAUGCUCGUUUUAGUCUAGCUAUCUUCUCCCUUAAUUGUUACUUUGACAGGGUAGGUGUGAGGUUUUUGGAUUACAAAUUGUACCAACUGUAUGUAAAGUUUGAAAUAUGUGAUGCUUUGUCAAAUGUUUUCUAGGAGUAUACUUGUGAUUUGUUUAUCUGUAGCUGUGUUUGGAUGCUUUGCAUACUACAUCUUAUGGAGUAUGUAUGGUUUUCGCUUGGUGUCCUUCACCUCGUGGAGUAUGUUAUGAGCGACCGUUUGUCCCUUGGUUUUUUAAUUCUUGAAAUUAUCUUAUAGUUCUAUACUUCGUCCUCUAUUACCAGUUAUAGUUUGUUGAAUUCUUGUUCUUUCCAGGGAUGUAAAUAAUGGCAAGAUAUUCCUUGAACGGUGAAGCAUUGGUUUUUUUUUUACUCUUACAUCAAUUUUUUCUUUCUUUUGCAUUAAUUCUUAAGUGGCUAAACUUGUUGGUUGGAUCUUUACUUAAUUUAUAAUGGAGGGCCAUUGAAUGUCCAAUUUUAAUACAUGAUAUGACAAAAGGAUUGAAUUAUGAUAUUGUCUCCUUGAAGCUUGAAUUUAUGAUCGUGUCUCUGUGCGCUGUGAUCUUAGUCACAUUGGUGGUAUAGGCAAAUUGAAAAGAAAGAUCUUGGAGUCAUUCCUUUCAUUUUAGUAGAGAUAAUUACCAAGAGAUCAAGACUAUUUGACUUCAAUUUUUUCGUUACAAAACUUUAUUUUGUCUUUAUUACUUUCCUUCAUUGACAAAUGAAUUUUGAACUUGGGUUCUUGCCUAAUUUGUGUUGCAAGAUUAUUGAUCUUUUGUAUUGGAGUUCCAAAAAUUAUAUAGUCACAAGACUAUAAUUUCAUGAGUCUUGACUUUGCUAUUCUUAUUCGGAGGGUCUGUACUAUGUAUGUUUUGUCUUUUCUGUUUUAAAGUGUUUUUCCUUGUUUUUAUUUGUGUGGUUCAGACUGAAUAAAUGAGAUACCGAUUUUCUUGUUCUCCUCAUGUUACAUCAACCAUUUUAUUGCUACUUUUAUUCAUUUGCAAAGGCUAAGUAUAAUAUUAUUUCUUCAGAUUUCUUUGUACUUGAUAGUAAAUUUUUAGGUGUUGCAUAGCGCUUGAUAUGACUUUCUCUAUUGGAUUUUCAUUCUUGAAUUUAUGAAUUCAUCUUGUCUAGAUUCUAUACUUCUAUUAAGAGGGCCUCGUAUGACUUUCUCUAUUUUAUGGAUUUGGAAGUGUUUUUUAAAUUUAUAAAAUCUAGAACUCUUUUUUGGAUUUGAAAUAAGCCUAUGAAUUAUGUAAUCAUGAUUUAUUCUAGAUUACAUAAUUCGGAAGUCAAUCUCAUAUUUAGAAAAGACUUUUGGAUUAUGUAAUUCUAAAGUUAAUCACACAUCUUAAAAAAAGGUUGUUUUCGGAUUACAUAAUUCGAAAGUUAAUCUUAUGUAUAAAAAAGACUUUCGGAUUAUGUAAUUUGGAGGCUAAUCAUAAAAGGCUUUUGGAUUACAUAAUUUGGAUCUAGAAAAAGACUUUUGGAUUAUGUAAUCUGGAAUAUUAAAAAAUGGUAUUUUGGAAUACAAAAAAUUUAUGGAGUGACACAAGAAGGUACAAAGGUGCAUGAAGAAGCAACCUUUGUAGUUUCUAUAACUUCUAUUAAAAGCAGUGGUAGUUUUCUUUAAUUUUUGGGCUUUACAGCUAACCCGACCAAUGAAACAUUUGAAAGUAUGGACUUGAUCACCCAAUCUAUGGGUUGAAUUGUGAAGGCAAUUUCUUCUUGUACCAUAUCAAUUCUAACCUUCAUCUUAUCAUUUUUCAAAAUUUCUAAAAUUUUCCUUAUACCAGAUUUAAAAAUCUGGAAUAGUAAAAAUAAUUUAAAAAUAAAAAAUAUAUUUUGGAUAAAAAAAAUCUAGAACACAAUUAAAAAUGCAUUUUAGAUAAAAAAAAUUGGAAUUCAAAAAUGUGUUCUGGAAUAUUUCUGGAUAAAAGGUUUUGGAAGUAAUUUUUAUUUACACCCUUCUUUUUUUAAGGUUAUUUUGUCAUUUUGGAAGGCCAUUUUUGUAAUCUUCAAUACCAGGUUGGGUGCAUGUUGGAAUUAAUAUGGUGCACGGAGCAAUUGCCAACUGUGAACUGGUUUCUAUACUAAAAUAUUUGGAAAUGUUUAUGGUAAUCUUUUUGUGUUGUGUUGAGCCUAUGAGCAGCUCCCUUACUUUGUCAUCUCUUUAAGAGAGUUUAGUUUUCUUGAAUCCCAUGGUUCUUGUUGAGAUUUUACGGGAAGGCAAUAGAUAUAUGUGGGCAGGUUUGGAUAACAGUGAAGAAGGAGGUUCAUUAAACUAAUUUAAAUGUUAUCCUGAAAUUUAAUGUUAGGUAAACCAGAAACUAAAUCUUUAGAUUUCAAUUUAUUUACGUGAUUAGUGUGUAUGUGAGCUAACCUCCUGUGCCAUAGCCAAGACUCAUCACUUCUAGACAGUAAACACUCAUUUGAAGAGUCAGUUUCCAUGAUAUUCAAAAGAUAUAUGUUAUUCACUCUCUUACCAGUAAACAGUACCUUACUAAAUGAAUCACUUGAGAUUGUGCAGCUAUUUGACUUAAAAUUCACCUUGUAUCCUUUGUCACAAAGCAAAGUUGACUUAUGCUGAGAAGGCUAUGCUUGAGUCCUUCUACGUAAAGCACAUUCUCAAUAGUGGUUGAGUUCCCUGUUUCAACUGUGCUUCUGCCCAAAAUUCUUCCUCGGUUAUUAUCACCAUAUGUUACAUGUCCUUCUGCUUUGAGCUUCAAGCUAGUGAAUUUUGUAAGAUCUCCAGUCAUAUGCUUGUAACAGCCACUGUCCAAGUACCACUGAUUUUUCUUGCUGCCAAUCUGCAAAACAGAAUAAAAAUGAUACAAAUGGUACCCUUUUUAGUAUAGGGUCCAGCACAUAUUAAAACAUUCUCUUUGGUAGCCAUUUUGCUAAAUUCUUAGGAACAAGAUGCUUUCUAGCAAUGCAAGACCUAGAGAUAUGACCAGAUUUCAUGCAGUAAAAACAGGUUACAUGAGAUGCUUUUUUCCCACUAUUAAAAGUUGAAAAACCUGAUUUUGUUGGAACAAAAAAACUUGAAAGCUUUUUGACACUGGUUACAUUUCCAAUGGUAUAACCAAGUCCAUUUUUAUUGAAAACAACAUUCUUUGAGCCAAGAAGAGACUCAAGUUCCCUUAGUGAAAUUGGAAAGGGUUUUUAGCAAAUACUCCACUUGUUUUUCCAAUUUUUUGCAGUUUUCACAGGUUUUAAUAGAGGCAUGCAAGCAUGUUAGUUCAAGGUUUACCAAAUCUGUUUUGGCCUUAUGCAAUUCUUCCUCAAGUGUUUUUACUUUAGGUGCAAGCACAUUAUUUACCUUUUGCAUCUUAUUGCAUAUUACAGCUAGCCUAUUUGCUUCAUCAUGUGUUUCUUUGAAAGCAACAAGCAAUUGAUCAUAGUUAUCUGAAUCCACAGAAAAAAUCACUUAUUGAAUCAGAUAUUGACUCCUCAUCCUUCAUCAUGAAGCACAAAUUGUUUUCACCAUUCUCAGUUGAAGAGUUGCCGGUUGAAGAUACUUCAUUUUCCUCCCAUGAGAUGUAAGCUCUUCUUUUCGUCUUCAGGAAUUUGCUGAAUCUUUUUGUAAGAAGACUGAUUGUUUCAUCAUCUUCAGCAUCUUCUUUUUCCUCCUUGAUAUCAUUAUGUUCAGUUGCUUUCAAUGUAAGACCUUUCGGUUUUCUCUAUGUUAUUUCCUGCUCUUUGAGUCUCUUGAGCUCUAGCUCAUGCUCCAUUAGCUUUCCAAAGAGUGCAUCUGUUCCUAGCUUUGAUAGAUCACAGUUUUUAGAUAUGGCAGUCACCUUUGGUUGCCAGCUUCUGUCGAGGCACUUCAAUAUUUUUAUGUUGAGUUCCUCUCUGUCAAAUUCAUUUCCCAAACCAGUAAGGUGAUUCACAAUACGAGUGAACCUUUUCUGCACAUUAGCAAUGCUCUCCUCGGGUUGCAUUUUAAACAAUUCAUAUUCUUGGAUGAGAGCAUGUUUUCUUGACCUCUUCACAUCUUCAGUACUCUCAUGAGUGACUUCUAAGACUUCCCACAUCUCCUUAGCUGACUUACAUUGGGAUAUCGUAAAGAACUCAUCCAUUGUUAAUGCAGAGGUUAUGAUGUUCUUGGCCACAAGAUCAUGUUGAGCCUUCCUCCUUUCGGUCUCAUUCCAUUCAAAUCUUGGCUUUACCACUUCUUCAUCCUUGACAACCUACAUUGGCACAUAGGGUCCAUGAACCACAACUUUCCAGAUUAAUGCAUCAAUAGAUUCCAUGAAAAUUCGCAUUCUAAUCUUCCAAAAUGCAUAAUUCAUUCCAUUGAACAUAGGUGGUCUAUUAACGGCAGAUCCCUCAGCAAAAAGCACUUUAAACUCAUACAUUAUUACAAACAAACUUGAUUAAAAUACAAGUCCUAGCUCUUGAUACCAAUUGUUGGGAUUAAUAGUGUCAAAGUUCAAGAGGGGGUGAAUUGAUCUUUUAAAAGUUUCUCGCAGAACCAAUAUUUUUCACAGAGUACAAAAAAUAAAUCGAUUUAUUUGAAAUUGAACAAAUUUAUUUUAGCACUAUUUGUGUUUGAAAAACGUUUAGACAGUCAGGUUAAUUACAAGAUUAUGCAGAUCGAUUUUCCAGAUACACACACUGAUAUAAUGAAGAAAAACUAUUCAUUUACAGAUGAACAGAUUUAUUUUUCAAAACGAAAACAGAAAAAGCUUAACUAUUUAAAACUCAGUCGUUUUGAAAGGUAGAAGACUUAGUCAAAAUGCUUGAUGCACAAAAUCUAAUUUUCACAAGACUUAGCCAAUGUAUCAGUUUAAAAAAGAAUCUGUUUAUUUAGAAAAGAACAGAUUUAUUUUUAUGCAGUAAACGUGUUUUUUGUAAAAUAUGUGAAAAACAGUUUAAGAAACCUUAUACUUGUUCUUAUCACAUGGUCAAUGGUUAGGAGGUGAGUUACUCAGCAAAAAGCCUACUCUUAAACAACCUCUAAACACUACCUAAGACAUUCUUAAAACAAAUGUAAAUAUACAUGAAUUGUACACAAAAGUCUUCAUCAAACACAUGUCUUGAAGGGGCAGCAACCAUCUUCAACAAUCUCCCCCUGUUUGAUGGAGACAAAUCCCCAUAGCUCUGUCGCUUUAAGAACCUGUACUGCACCGAAUACUAAACCAGAAAAACAGAACAUUGCAUAACAUGUGAAAUGGUUUUAAGGUGCAAAAUUUAACUUCCUGUUUCAGCUAGCUUCACCUAGCAUGGUGAGCUAUUUUUCCCCCCCUUUGGAUUCAUCAAACAGCAUGUAAGCAUAGGAAAAAAAAAACAAAAACAUAACCAUAAUAGUCCAAAAGAUAAAGACACAUUGUUCAACAUUACAGAAUUUUAAAACUGAUAAAGAAAGCAUGAAAAUACUUCUAAUCCUUGUAGUAUAGCUCUGCAAGUUGUACUUGAACUCCUUCAAUUUGAUCAUCAAGGUGUUGAAACCUUGCUUGAGUGGUCUCAAAAUAUGCCCUUUGUUCUGCUGUCAUGACAUCAAGGCAAUGCAAAACUUGCCUUUCAAACAUGGACAAUGGUUCACCAUGGUAUUCUGGAGUUUGAUAGGCCACAAUGACAUUCAGAUGAGUGGCAACAGCUUCUUCAUGCAUUGAUUGGGGAGCAGGUGAGUCUCCUCUGAGUUCUACAGAUGGAGAGCUUGUCCUUUGAUUUCCAGCAUGUUCAACAGAUUGCUCUUGACCAUAGGAGUGAUGGAUAACAUAACAUGAAUGUUCUGCAGCUUGAACUGUGUCAUCCUCCAUGGGAACAACUUCAUCCUCAUCUUCAUUGUUGAGGUUUGAGGCUCCAUGUUCUGCUUGAGGGUUCUUGCCUUUGAGAACCACCCAAUUGUCCUCUACUUUGUGAAAUCCCAUCUUUGUGAGAGUUGAAUUGUCAAUCUCACUUACAGCCUUGAUGGGGUCGUUUCUCUCAUUUAUAGCAUCAACACCAAAGAAAUCAAUCAAUUUUGAAACAAAAAUAGCAUAAGGAAAGCAAUAAUCAGCCAACCUUUUGGAUUUCAGCAUGUGUUCAUUUAUAAUGAAAACCCAGUUUACCUUAAUCUAGUUCAUGAUGCAAUAUAGAAGGAUUAAAUCUUCUUCAUGUAAAACAACAUGAUUUGUACCACUUGGGAUGAGUUGCCAUGCUAUAAUGUAGGUAACAAGACGUGGUGUAAGGUUCAAAUGACUUGCAUGGAACCUGUUUAUGCUCUGUGUAGGGUUCCUCAUACAGCUCUUAUAAUAUUGCAGUUUGUUGAAUUCUUGAAUCCCACUGGUGUUUCCUUUUCCAACUUUUAGUCCAGCAUACUUGAUUCCAGCCAUUGAAUUCCAAACAUCACUUGUGAUCUUCAUUUUGAUCCUUUUUCACAUAAGAGACAAUGUUCUUUCCAUCCAAUGUUAGGUUAGUGUAAAACACCUUAACCAAAUCAAGAUAUACAUUACCCGUUAAUUCCAGCAGCUUUUUCAGUUUCUGGUGCUUCAACACAGCCCUUGUUUCUGCCAAUUUUUUUGAUUUUAGCCAGUUGAAAUCUAGCACCUUAGGUAUGUUAAUCUGCUUUCUACAUGUCUCGUGCAUGUAGGCAUUGAUACCUUCUUCAUUUCCAGCGAACCAACCUUCUAGCACACCUUGAAAGGUGGUUUGCUUGCCAUUAUUUUUCUGUUUCUGUCUUGAAGAAGAAGCCAUGGUUGAACCAGAAUUUUCUCUUGGUUUCAAAUGGUGAAAACGGAAAAUAGGUAGCCAAUGUGGGUAGCAAAUAUUCGCACAGAUUUAUAUUGAGAAAUGAAUAGGUUGAUAUGACAGUUAUGAGUGGAUAUGCAUGAAGAUUUUAUGCUCUGAAUUUGUGCAGAGAAUAUAUGCAACAAAUAUUUAGGGUCACGAUGCAUACAACUCAUACCUUCAUUGAGCACCCAAACCAUCAAAUCGGUUACAUAACCAUGACCAAAACCGUCAAAGGUACAAAGGUUAAUGCCCACUAAGUCAGUCAAUCAGUCAAAGAUCAGAAUUUCUCUUUCCUAGUCAUCAAUGCAUAUCAGUACAAAAAUAAACACAUUUAAUUACGAAUAAACAUAUUUAAUUUUUCACUGCUAGGCACAAUUGACAUUUAUAAUACCCAAUUCAUUAAGCAGAAAAUUAAACCUAUCCUUAGCCAAUGGUUUUGUGAACAAAUCAGCAAGUUGUAAAUCUGUACCAAUGAAUUUAAUCUCACAUGUUCCAUUUGAAAUGUGUUCCCUUAGAAAAUGAUGCCUAAUUUCAAUGUGUUUGGUUCUUGAAUGCAUGACAGGAUUUUUGGUUAAGUUGAUUGCACUUGUAUUAUCACACAACAGAGGUAUAUGGUUAAGUAAGAUACCAAAAUCAUUUAAUUGUUGUCUUAGCCAUAUGGUUUGAGCACAGCAACUCCCUGUUGCAAUGUAUUCCGCUUCAGUCGUGGAGAGAGCUACACAAGCCUGCUUUUUGCAUUGCCAUGAGAUCAAGUUUGAUCCAAGCAAGUGACAGGUUCCACUGGUGCUCUUCCUAUCAAUUUUGCAACCUGCAAAGUCUGAAUCCGAAUAUCCAGUUAAGCUUAAUGAAAUGUUACUUGGAUACCACAAGCCAACUUCUUUAGUUCCUUGCAAAUACUUCAAAAUCCUUUUGGCAGCAUUGUAGUGUGAUUCUUUAGGAGCAGAUUGAAAUCGAGCACACAUGCACACUGCAAACAUUAUGUCAGGCCUGCUGGCAGUGAGAUACAGUAGUGAUCCUAUGAGUCCUCUGUAUUUGGUUUCAUCAACAGAAAUUCAAGCUUCAUCAUGAUCCAAGUGACAACUUGUUGAGAAGGGUGUGCUGAUUGGUUUACACUUGUCCAUUUCAAAUUUCUUCAGCAGAUCCUUGCAGUACUUAGCUUGACUUAAGAAAAUGCCAUCCUUGAGUUGUUUGACCUGCAAGCCUAGAAAAUAGUUCAACUCACCCAUCAUUGACAUUUCAAACUCACUCUUCAUGACUUUCACGAAAGCUUCACACAAUUCUCCAUUGUUUGAUCCAAAAAUGAUGUCAUCCACAUAUACUUGUACUAGGAUUAUGUCAUCUCCUUUCUUCUUAAUGAACAAGGUCUUAUCUGAUGUGCCUCUAUCAUAGCCUUGAGAGGUGAGAAAAUCACUUAGCCUCUCAUNNNNNNNNNNNNNNNNNNNNNNNNNNNNNNNNNNNNNNNNNNNNNNNNNNNNNNNNNNNNNNNNNNNNNNNNNNNNNNNNNNNNNNNNNNNNNNNNNNNNNNNNNNNNNNNNNNNNNNNNNNNNNNNNNNNNNNNNNNNNNNNNNNNNNNNNNNNNNNNNNNNNNNNNNNNNNNNNNNNNNNNNNNNNNNNNNNNNNNNNNNNNNNNNNNNNNNNNNNNNNNNNNNNNNNNNNNNNNNNNNNNNNNNNNNNNNNNNNNNNNNNNNNNNNNNNNNNNNNNNNNNNNNNNNNNNNNNNNNNNNNNNNNNNNNNNNNNNNNNNNNNNNNNNNNNNNNNNNNNNNNNNNNNNNNNNNNNNNNNNNNNNNNNNNNNNNNNNNNNNNNNNNNNNNNNNNNNNNNNNNNNNNNNNNNNNNNNNNNNNNNNNNNNNNNNNNNNNNNNNNNNNNNNNNNNNNNNNNNNNNNNNNNNNNNNNNNNNNNNNNNNNNNNNNNNNNNNNNNNNNNNNNNNNNNNNNNNNNNNNNNNNNNNNNNNNNNNNNNNNNNNNNNNNNNNNNNNNNNNNNNNNNNNNNNNNNNNNNNNNNNNNNNNNNNNNNNNNNNNNNNNNNNNNNNNNNNNNNNNNNNNNNNNNNNNNNNNNNNNNNNNNNNNNNNNNNNNNNNNNNCAAUUCAUUUUGAUUUAAAACAGAUUUAAAUUCAUUACUGUCAAGAUCAUCAGCAGCAGUUUUAGAUAUGUUAUGAUCAGUUUCAUAAAAAACAACAUGCAUUGAUUCUUCUACUAUGAACAAUCUUUUAUUGAAGACUCUAUAUGCAUGAUCAUUCAAAGCAUAACCAAUGUGCACACCUUCAUCAGAUUUAGCAUCAAACUUACCAAGAUUUUCUUUGCCAUUAUUCAAUACAAAGCAUUUACACCCAAAAACUCUAAGGUGGCUCACACUAGGUUUUCUGCCCUUAUACAAUUCAUAUGGGGUUUUCUUAAGAAUAAGUCUUAUUAAGGUUCUAUUCAACACAUAAGUUGCAGUAUAUACUGCAUCUGCCCAAAAAUACUUAGGGAGCUUAGAUUCAUUUAACAUGGUUUUAGCUAGUUCCUCUAAUGAUCUGUUUUUCUUUUCAACUACACCNNNNNNNNNNNNNNNNNNNNNNNNNNNNNNNNNNNNNNNNNNNNNNNNNNNNNNNNNNNNNNNNNNNNNNNNNNNNNNNNNNNNNNNNNNNNNNNNNNNNAUUUGUUUACCUUUCACACAAGCAUCACAGAGCCUGUUAUCCUUAAAUUUAAUGUUAGGUAAACCAGAAACUAAAUCUUUAGAUUUCAAUUUAUUUAAGUGAUUAGUGUGUAUGUGAGCUAACCUCCUGUGCCACAACCAAGACUCAUCACUUCUAGACAGUAAACACUCAUUUGAAGAGUCAGUUUCCAUGAUAUUCAAAAUAUAUAUGUUAUUCACUCUCUUACCAGUAAACAGUACCUUACUAGAUGAAUCACUUGAGAUUGUGCAACCAUUUGACUUAAAAUUCACCUUGUAUCCUUUGUCACAAAGCUGACUUAUGCUGAGAAGGCUAUGCUUGAGUCCUUCUACAUAAAACACAUUCUCAAUAGUGGUUGAGUUCCCUGUUCCAACAGUGCCUUUACCCAAAAUUCUUCCUCGGUUAUUAUCACCAUAGGUUACAUGUCCUUCUGCUUUGAGCUUCAAGCUAGUGAAUUUUGUAAGAUCUCCAGUCAUAUGAUUGGAACAGCCACUGUUCAAGUACCACUGAUUUUUCUUGCUGCCAAUCUGCAAAACAAAAUAAAAAUGAUACAAAUGGUACCCUUUUCAGUAUAGGGUCCAGCACAGAUUAAAACAUUCUCUUUAGUAGCCAUUUUGCUAAAUUCUUAGGAACAAGAUGUUUUCUAGCAAUGCAAGACCUAGAGAUAUGACCAGAUUUCAUGCAGUAAAAACAGGUUACAUGAGAUGCUUUUUUGCCACUGUUAAAAGUUGAAAAACCUGAUUUUGCUGGAACAAAAAAACUUGAAAGCUUUUUGACAUUGGUUACAUUUCCAGGGGUAUAACCAAGUCCAUUUUUAUUGAAAACAGCAUUUUGUGAGCCAAUAAGAGACUCAAGUUCCCUUGGUGAAAUUGGAAAGGGUUUUUAGCAAAUACUCCACUUGUUUUUCCAACUUUUUGCAAUUUUCACAGGUUUUAAUAGAGGCAUGCAAGCAUGUUAGUUCAAGGCUUACCAAAUCUGUUUUGGCCUUAUGCAAUUCUUCCUCAAGUGUUUUUACUUUAGGUGCAAGCACAUUAUUUACCUUUUGCAGCUUAUUGCAUAUUACAGCUAACCUAUUUGCUUCAUCAUGUGUUUCCUUGAAAGCAGCAAACAAUUUAUCAUAGUUAUCUGAAUCCACAGAAAAAUCACUUACUGAAUAUUGACUCCUCAUCCUUUAUCAUGAAGCACAGAUUGUUUUCCUCAUUCUCAGUUGAAGAGCUGUUGGUUGAAGAUACUUCAUUUUCCUCCCAUGAGAUGUAAGCUCUUCUUUCCUUGCUCCUUUCCACUCUCUUGCUGGCAGAUUUAUCCUUUGAUUGAUUGUUUGGACAAUUCAUUUUGAUGUGCCAUGUUUUGCCACAGCCAAAGCAAGUAUAGUUAGAGGAAUUUAAAUAAUUAGGUUUUGGAUACAUUCUUUUCUGCUGGUUCCUAUUUCUGCUUUUCUUCUUCAAGAAUUUGCUGAAUCUUUUUGUAAGAAGACUGAUUGUUUCAUCAUCUUCGGCAUCUUCUUUUUCCUCCUUGAUCUCAUUCUGUUCAGUUGCUUUCAGUGCAAGACCUUUGGGUUUUCUCUCUGUUCUAGCUCAUGCUCCAUUAGCUUUCCAAAGAGAGCAGCAGUUCCUAGCUUUAACAGAUCAUGACUUUCAGAUAUGGCAGUCACCUUUGGUUGCCAGUUUCUGUUGAGGCACUUUAAUAUCUUUAUGUUGAGUUCCUCUCUGUCAAAUUCUUUUCCCAAACCAGUAAGGUGAUUCACAAUACGAGUGAACCUUUUCUGCACAUUAGCAAUGCUCUCCUCGAGUUGCAUUUUAAACAAUUCAUAUUCUUGGAUGAGAGCAUGUUUUCUUGACCUCUUCACAUCUUCAGUACCCUCAUGAGUGACUUCUAAGACUUCCCACAUCUCCUUAGCUGACUUACAUUGGGAUAUCCUGAAGAACUCAUCCAUUGUUAAUGCAGAGGUUAUGAUGUUCUUGGCCACAAGAUCAUGUUGAGUCUUCCUCCUUUUGGUCUCAUUCUAUUCAGAUCUUGGUACACUUGCUGAAAAACCCUAAACCUUUGUGAUUUUCGAAAUCUUUUAAGAACAGAUGUUAAUUCCUUGUAAAUCCUCAAUUCUCUAAUGCAAAACUUGUUUUUACAAUUGUAUGAUCGAUUGUUAAACUCAUAAACAAGUUUUCAUUUUAUAGAAAACCAACUUAUAACAAAUUUUUGAAAAACAGUUAAAGCUGUUAUAAAAUGAACAAAUUGAAAAUAAAAUGAACAGAUUUAUUUUCAGAAAGCUGUUAGAGAAUUUGUUAUGAGAGGAGACUUAGUCAACCAUUCUGGUGCAGGGACAAAACUGAAAACCGUUUAAGAUAGCCAUGGCACCAGAGUCAAAAAGAAUCUAUUCAUUUACAGAUGAACAGAUUUAUUUUUCAAAACGAAAACAGAAAAAGCUUAACUAUUUAAAACUCAAUCGUUUUGAAAGGUAGAAGACUUAGUCAAAAUGCUUGAUGCACAAAAUCUAAUUUUCACAAGACUUAGCCGAGGCAUCAGUUUAAAAAAGAAUUUGUUUAUUUAGAAAAGAACAUAUUUAUUUUUAUGUAGUAAACGUGUUUUUUGUAAAAUAUGUGAAAAAAAAUUUAAGAAACCUUAUGCUUGUUCUUAUCACAUGGCCAGUGGUUAGGAGGUGAGUUACUCAGCAAAAAAACCUACUCUUAAACAACCUCUAAACACGACCUAAGACAUUCUUAAAGCAAAUUUAAAUAUACAUGAAUUGUACACAAAAGUCUUCAUCAAACACAUGUCUUAAAGGGGCAACAACCAUCUUCAACAAUAUAUAGUCCCAACAAGAUGAUGUUUGAAUGUGAAAAAUGUCUCCAUUAAAUGUUUAUGAAUAGUAAUUAUAUUUCACUUUUUUAUUGUUAUCCAAAACAUAUCUUUGCUGUUUCUAUCCAAUAUCAAUUCUAUUUCACGCAACAUCCUUAUUUCUAGGUGGAAGUGUUAAAAGAUGUACUGACACACAAUUGCAACCAUUUCCCAACAUCAAUAAACAGUCAAUAAAAAAAUAAUUAUUUUAACUUUAUUUUUCAACCAUAUUAAAAAAAACAAUCACUUUAUUCACGAAAUUCUCCUGUGAAACUUCUAGAUUGCUUUUUUAAUUUAUGCAUGAAACUUCAUCCCGAAACCACACAUGUCAUUACCAUUUCUUGUUCUCCAUUCAUCAUUCGCCCCAAACAAAAUUGUGAAUCCAAACCUAACUCCAAAUUCUCCAUUCAUCCUUACCUCCCAACAAAAUUUUUGAAACCUAGCUAUGACACAAAACCAGAGUAUCUAAUUGGAAACGAACCUAGAAUAUGACCACAGUGUCAGGCGAGGCAACUCGACGCAAAAUGACAACAAGGCGACUAUUCCAUAACAGUGAGAAACGACAAGGCAAUAGUGAGCGAUGGCGAGAGAGACAAUGAAGCCUUAAGUGAAACACGAAUAAAAAUUGGUACAAAACAAAAUAAAUUUGAAAUUUAACUUGAGACUCGCUAGUUUGACUGGUUCUACCAAUUUUGGCUCGAGUUUGCUGAAAAAUGAGUUUGUUCAUGAGUUGACUUGUGACCCAAAAGUAGAUUUUUAAACUUGGACAAGUUAGCAAGUUGAGUCACGAGUUUGAUAAUCAUGUACUUGUAUUGUUUUCUUACGCUAUGAGUCUUUUACAAGAUUCACCUUUUUUGGAUGACACAUUAACUUUAAAUACAAUCCUUUUAAGGUCAUUACAAUGUUGAACAUGUGAAACUGAGAAACAUAAAGGGAAUCCCUCUAGAUCUUCAAGGCAGUACCAUUACCACCAUCAUUAUGUCACAAGUUGAGCAAUUCAUCUAUUGGAUUUUUAGAUUCUUAUAAAUAUUGUUCAUCAUUCUCUAUCCAAGUCUCUAAUUUACCUUUUAGUUUUAUGACUCAACAUGAGUCAUUUUAUGAGUCAUUUUAUUGACACUAGUCUCAUUUAGGCACCAAGUCAAAUUUUUACUUCUAUGUGGGAAGAUGACUCUAACGUUUUCUCAAAGAAUGUAUAUAAAUCUUUACAUUGAUGAUAUGUUGCUUAUCUACUUUCACAAUUGAUUAGAACCAGAUCAUGAGACAACUAUAACCUAUAACUCACUCCACACUUGUUAAGCAACUAUUUAUUCCAUAUUCUUCUAAUUUGAUAAUAUCACUUUUUAUUCAUCACAAACUAAAAGCAUUGUAAUUGACGUAGAGUCGAUUCAUCCAAUAGAUUAUACUUGGACCCUUUAAGGUAGAUAUCUCAAAUUCACUUAAAAAUGUUACACCAAAAUAAAUGUUAUUGUAAGAGUAUUAACCUAAAAGACAACUUCAAAAUCUACAAACAAACAUAUUACACUAACAUAUGUUCAAUAUCAAAUUACACACUAUAUAAAAAUAAUCAUGUAUAUAUUUAAAUGUAACUAACUUUUAGAAUUAACAAACUUUUAGAAUUAAGAUAAAAAAUUAUCUUGAUGUAAUAAUGAAUGUGCACCUUGACCACUUUCUCAAUUUUUUCUUUUUCAAUAAUUUUAUCUUCAUUCAUUAUAAUAUAAACAAAAUCUCAAAAAUUAUUUUUAAACUUUCAACUAAAAACUUUUAGUUAUAUUUAAAGUAGACAUAAACAAAUAUAUGCACAUGCAAAAAUAAUCUACUACUAGGGAUGACAAAGCAAGGCGGAUCAACCCGUUAAGAAAUAACACAGUGCAGAAGUACCGUUCAAAUAUCUGGGUCUGGAGGUGGGAGGGAACCCAAGAAAGAAGCAAUUCUGAGAACCAGUUAUAAGUAAGUUGAAAGCAAAACUCAGUGUUUGGAAGCGGAGAUUUUUAUCCAUGGCAGGGAGGAUAUGCUUAAUUAAUUCUGUUCUAACCGCAAUUCCUUUGUUUUACCUCUCUCUUUUCAGAGUACCAGCUUCGGUGUGUAAAAGGAUUAUUAGUAUUCAAAGAAGAUUUUUGUGGGGCUGGGGGAAACUAACCAAGCCAAUUGCUUGGGUUAGCUGGAAUGAUGUUUGUAGACCAAAAGAGGAGGGAGGGUUGGGGUGUAGGGAUAUACGCCUGUUUAAUCAAGCUCUACUAGCCAAGUGGAGAUGACAAUGUCUUUCGGAGGAGAAUGGAAGAUGGAAGAUGUUGUUGGAUUCUAAAUACAACCUGGGGGAUGAAAACAGUCAAACACCUGUCAAAUAUCAAUCUUGGUGGUGGAAAGACUAAAGUGUGCAAGGUUGGUGGAGGAAGAUGGUGGUUUCAGGAAGAGCUAGGUUGGGAAGUAGGUUGUGGUGAUAAAGCAAAGUUCUGGGAGGAUGUAUGAAUUGGUAGUGUCGAUCUUUAGUCCUUGUUCCCGCGCUUAUACUCUUUAUCUUUAAACCAAGGUAAAGCAGUGGGGGAGAUGGGUGUAUGGGAUGAUACGGAGUGGAGGUGGGACUUGAGGUGGAGGCGUGACAGAUUUGUAUGGGAAUCUUCUCUGGAGAGGGACCUUACUAUGCUUCUAUCAAGGGUCAUUAUGAGAAAGAAUGUCCAGGAUAUCCAGGUUUGGGGGAAGGAGAUACUGGGGCUGUUUUCGGUGAGCUUGGCGUAUGAGUGUCUAUCUAAGCAUGGUAGAGGGAACAAUGACGAAGUGUUUAAGCUCCUGUGGAAGGUGAAGGCCUUUCCAAAUGUUUUGGUAACAACCUGGAGGGUGUUUAAGGGGAGAAUCCCCACUAGAGUGAGUUUGAGCCAGAGAGGGAUGAUGUUGAACUCAACAGUGUGUCCCUUGUGUUUGCUACAAGAAGAGACCUGUCAACAUCUUUUCAUGGAUUGUAAAUAUGCUCAACAAGUAUGGUCCCAAUGCCUUCAGUGGGUAGGCAUUUCCUUUGUUGAGCAUCAUGAUCUUAAGCGGCAUUUCCUAAGUUUCCACUUGUUUUAAGAUAGUAACAAGCAGAAUAAGAUCUGCAAAGGGGUAUGGGUAUUGUUAUUAGAAGUAUAUGGGACCAAAGGAAUUUGAUUACCUUUCAGCAAGGGGUAGUAGAUGCAGAGGAGAUAUUCUAGAGGGCCCAACUUAAGUCUUGGUUGUGGCUGAAGCAUAAAGCCCGUUCGUUUUCUUACUCUUUUACAGAUUGGGUUUUUAACCCAAUUAUCUGCAUUAAAAGCUGCUAAUGUUUCCUGGUUUUGUGUCUUCUGAAGAAGCUGGUAUUUCUGGUUGGUAUCAUGUGAAGGUUAUGGUUCGGAUGGAACCUGUGAUGGUGAAGGAGUGAAUCCCUUAGGGGUUAGCUGUUGUUACCUGUAUUGGGGUUGGUCUUCAAGCAUUUUUUGCAGGAACACGAAGCAUCUUCAUAAAGGAGUCAUAACACGGGAACAACUGUUUUGUUGUGGCAGGGUGGUCUUCUGCAGUUUCUGGAGUCACGGGGCGUGCUUAGAUCAAGGUUGGAUGCUUUGGAGGGGAGCUGAGGUUGGGUUUGAGCCACGCAUUUCAGGGGGGUAGAGAUAGCUUGGUUGAGGAAUGUGAAGUUGUGGUAAUGACUAACCAAGGCGUUAAGCCGGGUUACGUGUAAAGGUGGACUGGUGGCUGGUUGGCUGGUUGGACUGCUAUAAUACGUAUGUGUAGGGGAGGGUCGGUGAAGGAAUGAAGGUUUCAAGUGGAGAGGGUGUGAUUAGAAGGGUGCCGGUUGGGGAGCAGCUUGGAAAACUGGUGAAGAAUAGGAUUUUGUAGGUGUUGUUGUGCUGUUCUUUGGAGUGCAGUUGGGUUUUGGGUGCUGCUAUUUUUAUUGUUACUAUCAUUUUGGUUCUUUCAUAAGUGUUGGUUUGGGUUUGGCAUUCCCUUUUGUAGGUUUAGGCUUUUUGGUUAUACUUUCUUUUGUGGAAGUGUAACUUUGUGGUUGUAGUAUACGGGUUGGGAUACCCCUUAAGUAUCCCCCUUAAUUUUAUUCAUUUAUUGCUGAUAAAAAAAAAACAAUGCAGGCAUCAUAUUUCAACUUGUUGACUUGCUUAGGUUCACCUCGCAUAACUCGCAGUCCACACGGGCCAACGGGAUAGGCUGACUCAUAACCCACAUAUUCUAAAAAAUUAUAGACUUAUUCAUUCUAAAAUUUAUAAUCUGUAAUACAAAAUUGUAUUAUAAACUGUACAAUCUAGACUAUUGUACAAUCUAUAACUAUAUAUAGCUGCAAGAAGAAACUUUCCUCAAUCCCUAGUUCAUAACACCUUCAUGAAAUUUUAUAAUAGUUUUUUUUUUCCUUUUUAAAAUGCAUAAAUUGUCUAGGUUUCAAUAUUCAAAUGUUAAAUGCACUAGUCAAACUUUAGCCUUUUUAUAAUAAAAUUUAAAUAUAAUAAUAAUAUUAUAUAUAUAUAUAUAUUUUAAAUUAGAAUAGUAAUCAUGUGUCUACCUGUAUUAUCUUUGAAACGUAUAUAUUUAAAAAAAUAUUUAUUAGUCAAUUUAUUAGUAUGAUCAAAAUUCAAACUUCAUUGAAAAUCAAAAUAUUAUUAUAAUUUUUUUAUCCAUAUUUUAUUACAUGUGUCGUGAGAAUAAUACUAUGAAACUAUUAUUACCUAAUUCAUUUAAAUAAGAAAAAAAAAUUAAUAAACAAAACAAAAGUUUAUUAAAAAAUUAUAUUUAAUUUUUUUUCAUUAAUUAAAAAAAAAAUCUUAUGUGGAUCGGCUCGUGGGUUAGCUAGCAUGCGAGGCGGGCCAAUAAAAGCAACUAAUAUAUUUUACACAGGACGAACCAACUUGGCCUGUAUUUUAUGGGCCAAAUGCAAGGCGGACGGACCUGCAUUACCAUUCAUACCCACUACCUUCAGGUUAUCCUAAGGACGAACAACUCUAAUACCAUAAAUGUAACACCCCCAAAUUUAUUGUACACUUAUUACAAAGUUUAUUGUAAUAUAAUUUCAUUAUUAAAAAACUAUAUAAAUCAUACAUGAAUUUAUACAUUAAGGAUAUUUAAUCCAUUUCUGCUCAAGCUAAAAUAUUCCCGCUCAACUUAAAAAAAAAAACUUUUUUUUCUUCUUGUCUCAUCAAUGAAUUUGAUUCUUUAGCAAAAAUAGUGUUAAAACACAAGUUUGAGUGCAUGGUUACUUUCGCUCGAGCAAGAAUUGACUUGUUGGAGAAAAAUAUCAACUAUUGCAAUAAUACAAAGUCAUUUUUAAAGUUGUACCUUAAAACCAAUUCAAACUCAAACAUUAAAAAUAAGUUCAACAACACACAACAUCAAAUAGGGCAUGAAGUGUUCACAUCACUCUUUAGUUUAUUUUAUUAUGCUAAGGAUCUGCCAAAAAUAUAAUUAUUUUUUCUUACGUGAAAUUCCUUAUUUCAAGAAAAAAUCUACCUCAAGCAAAAGAACCACUCAAAAUUUAAAGACCUAAAGCAAAAUAUUCAAACUUAAUUAAAUUUGAAUAAAAGGUUAAUCAAGUUGAUGAUCGCUUUUGGCAACUAAUUUUACCAAGAUGGAUGACAUAAUUAUAAGAAAAUAAAAAAUAAAGAAUAUUCAGGGUAAAUAAGAACUUAUCUUGUUUUGAAAAUCUAAUUAGAUAAAAAUAAUUUCUAAAUCUUUAGCUAUUGUAGGGUGUGAUCAAAAUUUAAAAUAAAUGAAGUGUGAAAAGCAGAAAAGUAGAAUGAAAGGUCAUGAAAAUGGCCAAUUGCAGUAAAAGAGAGUGUCAAAACAAGAAUCGUGAAUACAGAGAAGUUCAGAGAAAAAAUGAGGAGAAGCUUUGAGAGAGAGAAAAGAUGAGUGAAAGAGGGUUUCAUUAAUCAAUCUAUGAAAAUGUACAGUGUCAUGUGUUUUUACAAAAGGUAAAAGAAUAGGCAAUUUCUUCUUGCACCCCUACGUUUUUCUUCCUGCACCCCCACAAUGUAAUGUAAAGACAAAAAUAUCCCUAUUAUUUUUUAAAAAUUCCAAAAUACACAUAAGACCCACAAUACUCUUUCUUCUUCCGGACAAUGCAAUUUGGUAAUUUUAUGGAAUAGGAAAUCCGCAUUUAUUUUUUUGCAUUUUGAAUUGGGAAAUCCAUAAAUCUUCCGAAUUGGUGAAUCUGGUAAUCUUCCGGAUUGGUGAAUCCGGUAAUCUUCCGGAUCCAUCAAUCCGUAACAAAAAUUAGACUUCUGGAUUCAGUAAUCCAGAAAUCAACAAGUUGCUUUUGAAACACCCCUUUAUUUGAAAAAGAACACGAAUCACUUCUGGAUUGAUGAAUCCGUAGCACACUCCCGGAUCCCAAUAUCUGGUAACCUAAAAAACUCUAGUUUUUUUAAAAUAAAAGGUGAAGGUCAGUUUUGGGAUUUACAAAAUUUUGGGGGUGCAGGAAAAAAAUGUAGGGGUGUAGGAAGAAGAAGCCAAAAGAAUAUAGGCGGGUGUUUCUUCCUGCACCCCCACAGUCUUGUGCAAAGACAAAAUUGCCCUUUAAAAUUUUUGAAAUUACAAAAUUACCCUUGAUGUAAUAAAACCCUAAAAAGUUAAAAUGAUGGUCAUUUGUGCGUGGUGGCCGGCCGUCUUCUUCGAUAGCACAGGUCUUCUUCAGCAGCAAUCUCUUGCAAUAGCUUCUUCUUCCAAAUCUCAUCCAUCUCUCAUUCAUAAAGGUACAUUCAUGUGUUUCGGAUUUUGGUAUCCGUUUUUUUCAUGGAUUGUUGUUUCCGUAAAUAUUAUUUCACAUUCCAAAUCACAGAAUCCGGUAAGUUUUCGAAUUUGGGGAUCCGGUAGUUUCCCGGAUUUGUGGAUCCGUUAGUUUCCUGGAUGUAAGGAUCAGGUAGUAUUCCGGAUUUAGGAAUCCGGUAGUGUUCUGGAUUUAGGUGAAGUUUAACACCCUUUUUUCUUUCAUUUUCACCCAUGUCACUCCUUAGUACUAAUUCUUCAAGCUGUAAGAGAGGCAUCCACUAGUCUUGGAGUUGAAAUUAGUAAAGUCUUGUAGUUAUUGUUAUAACAUCUUUACCAUAUAUGCUUAUUCCUUGUAUAUUUUUCUCUGGUUAGUUUGAAGUUUUAAUAUUUAUUUCACUUUCCAGUUUUUAUAUUCCUUUCAAGGAAGUCAUGACUCGCAAACUCAUUAGUAAUCACAAUGUCGGUAAUGCAAGUAAAGCAUUCCGGAUUCAUGAAUCCAUAACACAAAAUACUGUACCGGAUCAACCCAUCCGUAAUGAAAUUUUAGCUUCCAGAUUCACAAAUCCGGAGAACAACAUAUUAUUGCAUUUUACUUCUGGAACACCCCCUCAUCCGGAACACAUUAUUUCAUUUAUUCCGGAUUCAUGAAUCCGGAAGGUAUUACCGGAUUCCGAUAUCCGGUAAUCCCGAAAUUUCCAUAACCACCGUGUUUCUUAAAAAAAACCUUUACUCUUACCUCUAUAACCCAGACAACAGUUCGGCAACGUUGUGUACUCCUCCGCCUUUCUUCCAACAAUUAUGAAGAACCUCCGCAACACUUGAAACCCAAGGAUGAAGAUGAGCAGUGACUGUGGAAGUGCUGAACGUUGCCCUUUUCAAAUUUUUGCUCAAGGUUAAUGUUGGAAUAUUGAAAAUUGUGGGGGUGCAGGAAGAAAAACGUGGGGGUGCAGGAAGAACAAGCCAAUAUAGGCACUAGUAAGAGCCCAAAAACCCACAAAGAGCCCAAAAACAGAAAAGAGAAAAAAUAGAAUAGCUGCAGUAACAGAAUAAUAUUCUAAUACAAAUACACUAACAGAAUGAUAUUUUAACAAAAGGAAAGAAAGUGAAGGCAGAAAAAAUUACAAUUAUUCUCAACAACAACAAAAUUGUAUCAUUCAGAAAUUAUAUUAUUUACAAAAAAUAUUAAAAUAUAAUUUCUUAUCUUUUUUUUUUCAUCUCUGAAUUGGAAUUAUGUAUAUGAAAUCUUAAAAAAACGACUAUAUUUAUAUUUUUAUCAUGAAAUUGCUUUAUUUGAAAAUCUAAAAUUUUAACAGACUUUUCUAAAAAUAUAUAUUUUCUUUUACUUACACUGAAUUAUAUUCUAAAUUAUAAUUGAAUUGUGUAUAUAUUUUUGUAGUUGCAAUAAAUAAAAAAUAUUAUAAUAGAAGAGAUCAAACAAAUUCUUAUUAAUUUUUAUGUAUUUGAAAUUAUUCUCUUGAAAAUAUGAUAACGACCUAUAAUUUAUGAGUCAAAUUUUUAUAUUAAAUCGUCUUUUUUACACUCUAAGAAAAACAUACUUACUAAAGUAUGAAUUUAAAGUUGUUCUUAUUUCAUCUGUAUAAAAUUGUUGCCGACUAAAACUGUUUUGAAAAUUGGAUUUACAAUUGAUAAUAACAGAUGAAAAAUACCUUAAAUUAAUAUACAGUAUAUUUAUUAAAAGAUCACCAUUAUUUAAUAAUAAAAAUUAUUUGUUUUUGAAAUAUAAAAAAAUCGAUGGAACUUAUAAUAUAUAACUAUUUAUAUUAAAAGUUCUUUUUAUGUAAAUUAUUUUUAUAAUUUAUGCUAUUAAUUAUUGGUGAGAUCAUAGUCUCUUUCCCUUAAAAAAAAUAAAAAUAAAACAUUAAGUGUGGAUGACAAUAACUUUUGUCCAGCUACAUUAUAUAAUAUUAAUAUUACCCAUCGCAUAUAACUUUAGUUUUAUUAUUCAAACUAUUUAUUUAUGACUUAAUUUAAAUAAACAUCCUCAUGAAAUUUCCCGCUAAGUGAGUUGGCGCCCAAAAUCCUCUCUUAUAUAUAAAGACAGUAACAGUGAACCAAAGAAACACAACAAAACUCUAAGUGAGUUGGCGCCCAAAAUCCUCUCUUAUAUAUAAAGACAGUAACAGUGAACAAAGAAACACAAUUUCUAGCCAUUCCAACUCUCCAAUUUCAAGCGUCAAAUGUACUCUUCUCUCUUCUGUAACUUACCAUCUUUUUGGAAAUCUCCAGAGUUGAAACCAAAUCCUACAGCGUGAAACUGAAACCCCGAUUGAAAUAUUAUGUUUUGGUCAAUAUCCAAGAUCAGUUUGUUGGUAUUGCUUUGAUGAUUCUCAAUAAGGUUUUGUGGAAUUACAUGAUGUUUGCGUCGUGGGAUAGAAGAGUUAUUAAGAAUUAUUAGUAAGUGAUCAAUGUGCUUUUAUCGGAUUGUGAUUCAUUUACGCCGAAUGUGAUUCUUUGUGAUGAUGGCGAGUUUUAAAUCUUUUUUGUCUAUGGAUGAAAUGAAAAACAUAAUAGUUCAGAAAGGCCAAUUGAUCCAGGUGUUGCAUAGCAUUGAGCCUGGUAUGACUUUCUCUUUGGCUUUUCAUUCUUGAAUUUAUGGAUUCAUCUUCUCUAGUUUCUAUAGCUUCUAUUAAGAGCGCCUAGUAGGACUUUCUCUAUUGGCUUUUCUUUCUUGAAUUCAUCUUGUCUAGUUUCUAUAACUUCUAUUAAGGGUGUCAAUGGUUUUCUUUAAUUCUUGGGCUUUACAACUAACACAACCAAUGAAUCAUUUGAAGGUAUUUGAGUAAUUUUGGACUUUGUCACCAACCAUAUGGGUUGAACUGUGAACUGGUUUCUCUACUGUAAUAUUUGGAAGUGUUUCUUGGAAUCUUUCCGUGUUGUGUCGAGCCUAUGAGCGGCUCCCUUGGUUUUGAAAUUUUGAAUUUACCUUAACCUUUCUAUACUAUGUCAUAUCAUCUCUUUAAAAGAGGUUAGCUUUCUCGAAUCCCCAUGAUUCUUGUUCGGCUUUUAUUGGAAGGCAAUAUAAAUGUGGGCUGGUAUCAGAAACAGUGAAUGGCGGUCCAGUGAAACUUUAGGUUUUAUUAUCUUUGCGGUUAUUCUUUUGGCUAAACUUGAGGAGUGGGGUUCUUGUAGACAGGCACUAUAUGACUAUGAGAGGCUUUGACAUUUGUGUUUGUGUCUUCGACUUUGAUUAUCUUCUUCUACAUGUUGCAGUGACUUUCUACAUGUUGCACUGACUUACUAUGGAUGUCUGUUGGAUUGUGGAGGCAAUUGCCGUAGAUUAUUGGACUUGUGAAGCUUUAGGUUUUAUUAUGUUUCCAUUCACUAUCUUAUGUGCUUGAUUUGAAAUGGCUAUAUUCUCUCUUAUUGGUUGAAUAGUAGGAAGCUACACGUGUCAGUCACUGUGUGUCUAAGCUAGGGCGAUUCUUAAUUAUGCUUAUCCUUUAUCUCAUGAUCCCAACUAUCUUCCAAAAUGAGAAUGUUCUCCAUAAUGACAGUAAUAUUUAGUUAUAUUUCCAAUAUGAGAAUGAAAAACUAUCUCUCAAGGCUAUGAGUGACCUAUUCCAAAAGGAAAGCUCCAACAUGAGAGCUCUAUUUACUUCUUUCGGGUUGGGGUCUCAGUAUUUGUGAUAGGAUAUGGAAGCAGACUGUAUCUUAUUUCUAACUAUAUUUCUCAAUCUUAGUCCCUUGCUGAUUUUGGUCUUUAUUAUUUAAUGUUUUUGGACUUGAUCACCUAACAUAUGGGCUGAACUGUUGUUUAUCUACAAUAGUAUUUCAAAGUGUUUUUGUNNNNNNNNNNNNNNNNNNNNNNNNNNNNNNNNNNNNNNNNNNNNNNNNNNNNNNNNNNNNNNNNNNNNNNNNNNNNNNNNNNNNNNNNNNNNNNNNNNNNUUGAUAUUUGUGAAUUUUCUUAUUGUUUCUGUACUUUGUCAUGUCAUCUUUUUAAGAAGAUUAGUUUUCUCAAAUUGCCACGAGUCUUCUUGAGCUUUGCCACCAGUUAAACUUUAGGUUUUAUUAACUUUGCAUUUAUGAUGCUGAUAAAAAACAUCUUUGCAUUCAUUAUUUUCUUUGCUGUUAUUCUUUUUGCUACUCUUGUGGAGUCGGAGUUCUUGUAAUUGGGCCUUUGACUUUGAUGAUUUGAUUAUCUUCUACUUGUGUUGUACUGAACUUUGAGCUUUGCCAUGAGACUUCUUGAGCUUUGCCAUGAGUCUUCGUGAGCUGCCAUGAGUCUUUGUGAGCUGCCAUGAGUCUUCUUGUGCUUUGCCAUGAGUCUUUGUGAGCUGCCAUGAGUCUUUGUGAGCUGCCAUGAGUCUUCUUGAGCUUUGCCAUGAGUCUUCUUGUGCUUUGCCAUGAGUCUUCUUGAGCUUUGCCAUGAGUCUUCUUCAGCUUUGCCAUGAGACUUCUUGAGCUUCGUCACGAGACUUCUUGAGCUUUGCCAUGAGUCUUCGUGAGCUUUGCCAUGAGUCUUCUUGAGCUUUGCCAUGAAUCUUCUUGAGCUUUUACAUGAAGGAUGUAGGGUUCAGGUUUUGGAAACAGUGGAUGGAGAUACAGUUAAAGUUUAGGUUUUAUUAUCUUUGCAUUCAUUAUUUUCGUUGUUGUUAUUCUUUUUGCUACUCUUGUGGAGUGGGAGUUCUUGUAAUUGGGCCUUUGACUUUGAUGAUUUGAUUAUCUUCUACUUGUGUUGUAGUGAACUUUGAGCUUUGCCAUGAUUCUUCUUGAGCUUUGCCAUGAGACUUGUUGAGCUUUGCAAUGAGACUUGUUGAGCUUUUACAUGAAGGAUGUAGGGGUCAGGUUUUGGAAACAGCGGAUGGAGAUACAGUUAAAGUUUAGGUUUUAUUAUCUUUACAUUUAUUAUGCUGAUAAAAAAAAAAUUGCAUUCAUUAUUUUCUUUGCUGUUAUUCUUUUUGCUACUCUUGUGGAGCGGGAGUUCUUGUAAUUGGGCCUUUGACUUUGAUGAUCUGAUUAUCUUUUUCUAUUUGUGUUGGAAUGAACACUUACCAUGGAUGUUUGUUGGACAUAUUGUGAAGCUUCAGGUUUUAUUACUUUUCUACUCACUAUUUUUCUUAUUUGCUCGAUUUGGAAUGUCUACAGUUUCUCUUAUUGGCUGGAUAGUUGGAAGGUAUUUCAUUGUAUGUAUCUAAGCAAGAGUGAUGCGUCUAGGUCCUCCAUCAUCUACCGUUAUUGAUUAUAGUUUUCUUGAAUUCAUUGGCCUUACAGGAAAGCUAAGCAAUGAAGUGUGGUGUAGGAUGUAAAAAUGGUGGGUCGAAAUUCUGUGGUGAAGCUAAAUGUUUCUUUCACCAGGACAUUGUUGUGUUCAACUGAUUUAAUUUUUAACUGGCUCAACUUGUCGGUUUGAUUAUAAUCUUGUUUGUAACUUGUUGGUUUGAUUAUAAUCUUGGUUGUAUUUUGAUAAUGUAUGUUUCUAAGAGGCAUUGUGGGAUGAGAAUGAGACAAGUACAGUUGAACUUUACUCUUUGAUUUGAUGGUUUGCUUCUUGGUUUGAAAAGUUCUACUAUUUAAUUUUGAUGACUUCUCUGCAUAAUUCUAUAAUAUAGGUCUUUUGUUCUAUAUAGGUCUUUUGUUCUUUUAAUAAUUUUCCAAAACCUUUCGAUUCAUUAUUCUUGAUCCCGAACAUAUGGGUUGAGUUGUGAACUUCUUUGGACUUUUUGCAUGUAACUCUUACGCUGAAAUUAGUAUAAGAAUGAUCCUGAAAUUGAAAUUGUUUAAAUGCUUCACUUUUGUUUCAACAAUCUCCAUAUGUGUUUCUCGUUCCUUGAGUUUUGAAAUUUGCAUUUAUUUGUUUGCAACACAUUGAGUCUUUAUCUGAGGUUUCUCUUUCAGUUGAUUAACUCAACCAGUGAUGGAAUAUAGUGGGACGACUAACAUGUCUAUUCAAGCAGUUAUAGAUUUUUUUUCUUUUUUUUCCUUUAUUGUUUAUUGAGUUGAGUGUUUUCAAAAUAUUUCUGUAGCCACUUGGGAUUGAAAGUCCAACGUUAUGCCUGACAUUGGAUAAUUGGACUUCUUUUAUUAGUUUUCCAAACCGUUCAUUUUUUUCAUAUUUGUUCUAUUUGGACAGGAAUUGUAGGUGAGAAAGAUAAUGGAGUUUUGGAGGUGAAUUUGUUUAAUAUUUGUUCUAUUUGGACAGGAAUUGUAUGUGAAAAAGAUAAUGAAGUUUUGGAGGUGAAUUUGUUAAUUCCAGUGAAAACGACGAAGAACUCUUGAUAAAGUAAUUUUCUUUGUUAUUAUAUUUCUCUACCCAAUCCAGGUGUUGCAUUAAUCCCUUUGCAGCAUACAGAACUGUAACCGAUCUUAAGUUUGUAUGCAACGAUGUUUUUGGAAAUUUUGUGUCACAAACUUAUUAUUAGGAGACUACGACUUCCUUGGUUUUAUCUGAUCAUUCUGGACUUGCUAUCUUCUUCUGUGGGUUUUGGUUAGGUUUCAAUUUUCAGUAAUGUCUGGUAUGUUGACAGUAUUGGAUUUCCUUGUUUGCAUUUCAAAAACUGAACCAAUCUCAAGGCAUUACGCUUCUAUAGUUGGAGUAGUAUGAGACAACUUUGUUUCUCUGAAAUUUAGAGAGUCUCUUUAAUAUUGCAUGGUAAUUUUUUUAUACGAUGUACAAGUAUAUCCAGUUUUAUUUGGAUAUUUUUUAGCAACAAUGCUUUUGGAAUAGGAUUUGUUUGAGCGCUACCAUGAGAAAGUUCAAUUUGAAACGACAACCACUCAUAAUAGCCUAAUUUCUUCUAUAUGAGGUUUCCCCUUUUAUUUAACUUCUAAGGAAUUGAUUACCAACAUUAGGAUUGAAUUGUGAUUUGUUUUUCUACAGUGGUUUAUGAUUGUAUUCAAACAAUGUUUGGAUCUCAUCGAACCUUUAAUGAGUUGAUUUCUGAGUUUAAGAAUUCGUCUAAUAUUUUCUAAAAUUCCUCCCAUGGAACAAGUGUUUUAAGUUUUCUUGAAUUUUUUCUAUUUACCGGUAAGACAAGCAAUGGAUGUGUGAGGACAUGUAGAAACAUGCGGAUCAAUUAAAGCCUUAGUUUGUGUUAAUUCGUGACUAGCUAUUUGAAUGCAGUUUUUUAUGUGGUGACAAAGAUCUAUCAAAAUAAAAAAAUUGGUUUAGGAUUUCCUCUCUAUUUGAUAUUUUCAGAUUUGAUCACCAAAUAUAAGGAUUUUCCGUUACCAUUUGUUUUUCUGCAGUGAUGUUUGCAUUAUGUUUCAUGCUACGUCUAAUGGAUCAUGUUGUCUGGAAGGUUUUAUGGCUCUUGGUAACAGGCUUUACAAGUGCUUCAGAGGAUCAGUAGUUUCAGAGCUGAUACCUAUUAUCAUAAUUGUGUCUCGCAGUGUGAAUUGUUCAAGUUUAUUUAUUUGCAAAAGGGAUCAGUUCUCCAAUAAUUUUUGCAGAAGAUUGGAUGGCUAACAUUAUUGUUCGUUCAUUUGAUCCAGUAAGAGCUCAUUCUAGAAAUGUGGACUUCUCUUUAAAAGCCUUUAGUAUGUUUACUAUCUUCAAAAGAUAUUUUUUCUGGAUCUAUUGUUUUGACAGAGCAGGUCUUCGAGGAAGUCACGGGUCUCUUAGAUUUGGAAUUGUUCAAGUACCAUCAACAUGAUUUCAUGAUCUCUUAUGAUUUCCCCUGAAUUUUUGGUUGUUGUUUUGACAGGGUAGGGUUUGGGUAGAGUUUGGGUUUUUGGAUUAGGAAUUGUCCAACUACCAACAAUGUGUAAACCCUAAACCCUAAACCCUAAAUAUAUAUAUAUAUAUAUAUUUUUGCUAGUUUUAUUUUUCAUUGAAUUACUUAAUUGCUUUAUUAAUAUGAUCAUUUGAUUAUAAAAUUAUUCUUGGUAGUUAUAUAAUUAUUCAUGGUUGUUUUAUUACCUUUAAUAGUUAUUGUUGUUGGAAAAGUAAUCUAGAAGUCCUUUGUUGGCUAAUGAUUCUCUAACAUUUUUUUUUUAAAUUUCAUAGUAGUUGUAUUUUGCUUUGACAAUUUAGUUUAGUUUUUUUAUUGAUUCCUGCAUCGACAAAUGAAUUUUGAACUUGUUCUUGCAUAAUUUAUCAUGGGAUAAAAUGAAUUGGUGGUGUAGGUUUGGAAAACAGUGGAUCUGGACCCUGUGGAACUUUGGUUUUAUUCUGUGUUUAUUAUUUUCUUUGAUGCUAUUAUGCACGGAUAAACUUGUGGACUGGGAAUGCUUACCUCUUUAUGACAGGCAUUGUAAACGUCUGUGUCAGCCAUUUAAUUUUCUCUUUCUAGUUCACACUCAGACAUUUCUUUCAGCAACUGAGUCAUUUAAUCGCAAAGAGAGUUUUGUUUCCUUUCAUGUUCUUUGUUGUCAAUACAACCUUUGUUUCUUUCUUAUCAGCUAUAGUAUUUAAUUCAAUGCGAUCUCAGGAUGUGUUACUUGGAAGUGAUGUGGUUAUUCAUUCGAGGAUUGAUGUGUUAUUUGGAAGUGAGGUGAGGCUAUCUGAAUACCGGAAGGAGAUCCAUUCUCUUUGAUGACAGAUGCCUACUUGAGUUUGGAUGUAGUUAUUUAUUUGAUGACAGAGAUCUAUCAUAUGUAACUUUCUGUUAGUUCCUUUUCAACAGGGGAUUCUGGUUGAGGAUUAAAAAACAUAAAUUUGAAUAUUGUUUUUGUCUAAUUAUUGAAAUAUGACAAAUCUAGCGGUUUGAUAUGUGAAUAUGUUGAUUCUUUUUCAGCAAAUCAUAGGUUAGUAACAAUAAAAUGCUCAGGGAAGAUGUCUCCCCUCUAUUUGAAACUUUGUGGAUUGAGCGUAUUUUUCCAGACUGAUAUGUGAGGUAGGAUGUGGAAACACUUACCAGGACAUUUGUGAAGCUUUAGGUUUUGUUACCCUUACCAUUCUUGUGUCUUUAUUUGUGACUGACUAAACUUCUUGUUUGGAUUCUAAGUUUUGGUUGGAUUCAUUGCUAACCUUGUAGUUUGACUGGCAGUCUGGCAAUUCUUGUGGGUUUAGAGGUCGUGUAAUUUGGGGAGGACUUGUCUGGCAGAAUUUUUAACUACUUAUAUGAAGUACUGAAUUAAUAGUGAAAAAAAGAUAAAAAAAAUAUAUCAUGGCUAUUAAAAGUUUAUGUUUCUUGUCCUGUUCAGCCAUGACACUUGUGUGAACACUUGCUUCUUUCUCUAUUGCCCCAUAUGCAUUUUUUUCACAAUUUUUACUCUUUUUUAAGUUAUCCAUUUCUAAGUAAUUUAGGCUUCUCGUAGCUUUUACCAGUCCUGGAUUCAUAGUGAAAUUUGAACCUUUUACAUGGUGCAAUUGAAAUUAAGGAGUGAAUUAUUGAUCUUUAGUUUUACAGUACUGAAUUAAUUUUGGAUUUGCUUUGGUGUAGCAAAUUUGAAAGGUCAUUUUCUUAGUUAUUACUUCAUUUACUAAAUAAUCAAGAGCAUUGGACAAUUUGAUUUUGUAGUGUUUUGUUUGCUGCAUUGACAAAUGAAUCUUGCAUUGUAUUGUUUUUAAUAGUUCUGGAUUACAUUCUGAAUAUGACAUAUGAUGAUCUCUUCUAUCUUCCAAUAUGAGAAUGAUCUGCAACAUUAGAGUUGUAUUUAGUUCUAUCUCCAAAGGGAGAAUGAGAAAUUGAGAGCUCUAUUUAGUUUUAUCUCCAAUUAUCUCUAAUAUGAGAAUGAGAAACAACAGUAGUUGGAAUGUUUUCUGGCAAUCUUCCUGUGCUAUGAUUCAGUUCUCUCUCCAUAUAUGAGAAUAAGAAAAUGAGAAAGAGAAACAAGAUUAUUUGGAAUGUUUUUUGUCGUAAUCUUCUUGCACUAUGAUUCGGUUCUCUCCCAAUAUGCGAAUGAGAAACAACAAUAUUUGGAAAGUUGUCAUAAUCUUCUUGCGUUAUAUGAUUCGGUUCUGUCCCCAAUAUGCGAAUGAGAAGAUGAGAAACAACAGUAUAUGAGAGCUCCAUUUAGUUCUAUCUCCAAAUGAGAAACAACAGUACAUGAGAGUUCUAUUUAGUUUUAUCUCUAAUAUGAUAAAGAAGCGAAACAAAAGUAUUUGGAUUGUUCUCUUUGUAAUCUUCGUGUGCUAUGAGCAACGCCUCCCCUCGAGGCUAUGGUAACGGGUGAUGCCUCUCUAUUCCAACAUGAGAUCUCUAUAUAUUAUGUGGAAGCAGACACCAUCUUUUUGUCGUCUAUAUUUCUCAGCUCUUGCUGAUUUUGCCGUGCUGUUUUCUUGAUUUACCAUGCUUUUUUUUAUCAGCAAAGAAUGAAAUUAAAUUAAGAGGGAUACAAAAGGGGUAUCUCAACUCUUUUACAUAAACCAAACCACAUUAAGAAUCUCCAAGAAUAAAGAGAUGAAUAAACACCACAGAAGCAAUAGAUAGAUAAUGUUUGUUGCAUAAGUUAAACAUCCUAUUUCAGCUAGCACCGUGCUUGUAUUGGAAUGCUAUAAGCACUGCAAACUGCAGCUACAAAACCAUCAAAAUACACCAAAAUUGGUUGUCUCCACCACCUCAUUGACAUUCCUUCUACCCAACUUGCAGUGGCACGAUUGUAGCACUUGUCACAGAAUUAAUCACUUCAAUGCAGCAUCUUCCAUUCACUCCUUUUUGGACUUUGGCUUCUCCUUGUUUGCUCCUUUCAAGCUCACUUUUAACAGAAACCAAGUUCCUACUUGCCAAGGUCUAUCUCGCACUUAGAUUGGUUGGAGUUUACAACUUCGAGUUACAUCCCCCAACAUGUCUGAAUCCCCACCACAACCUCUACUGCUACCAUCUACAUGUGAGACCACUAGUUGAUCAGCAAACACACUUAGGGAUUUCCACAACAACCAAAACACCACAUAAAAAAACACAGUUUUUGUUUCCUGCAUAAAGAACCCUGAACCAGCAUACACCUUGCCUCUAUUGGUCUGUUAUAAGACACAUCAAAACAGAAUCUUUCAUCAUGUCCUUAACAUUCCUUUUGACUCCCUUGCAUACAAGCACAUAUGUCCUUUCCAUCUUGCACUAGCUGCAGGCCGUGACAAACCCACCAACACCUCCAACCAACUAUAAAUCCAGUAUAGGUCGUAGUCUUAAAACUCUUGGCACCUGGGAGUACUAAUUAUAACUUCUAAUGCAAAGCAUUGGAUUAAGAAUCCAGUCUACGAAAGAAUAAGUAAAGAAAUGCACCUUGUGUUUCAUCCAAAGCCAGGAUUUGAGUUGAGCCUUCUGAAACACCUCCUCCGCAUCUACUAGCCCUUUUUUGAAUACAAUCAGGUUCCUUUGGUCCCAGAUACACCUAAUAACAGAUGCCCAAACACCUUUCCAUACCAGGUUUUGCUUCUUACUAGCAUUGCUCAGAUAAAAACUCAUAAAGUGCAUAAUUAAAUCAUUUUGUUGAACAGAAGAGAUACCUAUCCAUUUGAAGCACAAGGACCAUACCCAUUGUGCGUAUUUACACUCCAAGAAGAUAUGUUGACAAGACUCCUCCUUAAGCUGACACAUUGCACAUAACGUAGAUUCCAUCAUUACCCCUCUCCUACUCAAACUCACCCUUGUUGGGAUUCUAUCCAACAACACUCUCCAAGCUGUCACGAUCACAUUUGGGAAUGCCUUAGUCUUCCAAAGGAGAUUAAACACAUCGGAUUGGGUUCCACGAGACUGCUUGGCAAGGCACUCAUAAGCAGAAUUCACAGAAAAAAAAGGGCUGGUUCUUCCUUCCCCCACACCUGCACAUCCACGUCAUUCCUUCUCAUUAGUGCCCCUGAUAACAGUGUAAAGAGGUCUGCUUCCAGUGAUGAUUCCCACUCAAAUCUGGCACGCCUCCAUGUCAGCCUCCAUCUCCAAUCCGAAUUAAUCCACACGCCAACUUCACCCACCGUUUGCCCCUGUUUUAAGGAUAGGGAGAACAGUCUUGGAAACAAGGAUUUGAGAUCAGAGCUCCCAACCCACACCUCCUCCCAUAACUUUACUUUGUCUCCACACCCUAGUUUUCAGCUUAGUUCUUCUUGAAACCAUCAUUUUCCUCCUCCCUCCUUGCACACUUUAAAGAGAUCUUUCCACCACCAAGAUUUUCAGCUUAGUUCUUCUUGAAACCAUCAUUAGUCCAAUUUUAAUACAUGAUAUGACAAAUGGAUUGAAUUAUGAUAUUGUCUCCUUGAAGCUUGAAUUUAUGAUCGUGUCUCUGUGCGCUGUGAUCUUAGUCACAUUGGUGGUAUAGACAAAUUGAAAAGAAGGAUCUUGGAGUCAUUCCUUUCAUUUUAGUAGUGGUAAUUACCAAGAGCUCAAGACUAUUUGACUUCAAUUUUUUCAUUACAAAACUUUAUUUUGUCUUUAUUAGUUUCUUUCAUUGAGAAAUGAAUUUUGAACUUGGGUUCUUGCAAAGCAUCAAUGUUCUUGCCUAAUUUGUGUUGCAAGAUUAUUGAUCUUUUGUAUUGGAGUUCCAAAAAUUAUAGUCUACUCAAGACUAAUUUCAUGAGUCUUGACUUUGCUAUUCUUAUUCGGAAGGUUUGUACUAUGUAUGUUUUGUCUUUUCUGAUUUAAAGUGUUUUUCCUUGUUUUUAUUUGUGUGGUUCAGACUGAAUAAAUGAGAUACCGAUUUUCUUGUUCUCCUCAUGUUACAUCAACCAUUUUAUUGCUACUUUUAUUCAUUUGCAAAGGCUCAGGAUAAUAUUAUUUCUUCAGAUUUCUAUGUACUUGAUAGUAAAUUUUUAGGUGUUGCAUAGCGCCUGGUAUGACUUUCUCUAUUGGUUUUUCAUUCUUGAAUUUAUGAAUUCAUCUUGUCUAGAUUCUAUACUUCUAUUAAGAGGACCUGGUAUGACUUUCUCUAUUCCUAACAAAAAAAACUUUUGUCCUCAAAAUUACCUAAAAAAAUAAUUAGGAUAUGAUUCACUUGUCUUCUUUUUCAUCUCCCGCAUAUAAGAUCUCACAACACUUUGACCUUUCACAACACUUUGGCCUUGUUUACACUUUCAUUUCAAAAGAUGGAUUUUCUCUUACAUGAAUUAAAUCAAAUUUUGUGUGACUAACUUUCCUUUUGUUGUAUACCAAGUUAACCAUCCAAUCUAUUUUUCCUCAAUCUUAAACACACAAUUUAGGUUAGUCUUAUGUUUUUCAAGCUUCUAGAAUAAUAUUUUUGCAUAAAGGUUAUUGUCAAAAAUGUCUAAGACGAUGUUGAUGUAAUCAAACUUCACGAUCCAUGACUUGACUUGUUAUAAGAACUAUAUAAACAUAUGCAUGAUAUAAAUCAAUAUCAAUAUAGAAAUCUUUCCAUGUUUAUUGGAAAGAUUACCUUUAAUUUUUAAUGGACAUGAUAUGAUACUAACCUUUCUAACUCAUUUUGUUUUUUUUUAACAAUAUUCUUAAAUUCAAAAAAAUGUGUAAUUAUAUUACUCACCUAACUCUAACUCAUUUUGUUUUUUUCUUAACAAUAUUCUCAAAUUAAAAAAGUGUGCAAUUAUAUUACUCACCUAACUGUUGCGUCUCAAAAAAUGUAUUGUAUGUUUCAACACUAGAAUAUUAAUUGUAAAAUUGACUUGCAAUGCGACCAAGUUUGGUAAAAUAAAAGUUAUUUUUUUCAUUGAAAUGCAUCAUUUUUUUCCAACACUAGUCUUUUUAGGACUAAAAGUAGGAUUUGCCAUUGCUUCAUUUCUCCAAAGGAUUCAUCCUCAUCUUUAUAAAAAGAUAAAUAUACUCCAAUCAAGCGUAAACUUCUUUAACAUUAGUUACAUACCUCUUUCACCACUUUUAUCAAACUAAUGUCUUCUUUUUGGUCAAUUAUCCACAUAACAUCAAGCAUACCAUUCAUUUUCAUAUAAAAAUAUUUAGUUUUAUUUGUUUUUAAUAGGUUUAAAUAUUUUUAAAAUUUGAAUCAACCAAUUGCUUCUCUUUCACUUCUUUUAGAAACUUGUUAAGCAUAUGACAAAUAAUAUGAGUUGAAGAUAUAGGAAUUUCUAAAUCCUACAUUCUAAAUUCUAAAUCUUUAAUCAUAGGUGUUGACACUUGUGUCUUCUCAUGAAUUGAAGCAUAUGUAGCAACAUUUCCUAUCUUAGGAUGGUACCUCAACAAAAAAUUGUAAUCUUUCAAAAACUCCAUCAAUUUUCUAUUAUCUACUUUCGUUAUUUGUAGGAUAGGAAACUAAUUGUAUAAUAACACUAUUUCAUUUCGACUUAGCCACGUUCAACUAUUGUAAUUUUCUCCUAAGUCUUUGAAGUUUCACUUCAUGAUAGUAAAAAAUAUAUUUAACCACGUCUCUUUUUAUGUUCAACUAUUAAAAAACUUGUGUAGUACUGAUAUAUAUUAGUUGUGUCUAAUGCAAAUAUAUUUAUUUUAUAAUUUUUAUACUAUAUCAUUUUCUCCAACUUAUUAUUUGUCGAUACACAAACUUUAUCUUGAACCUCAGAAUUUCAUUUACUUUCAUUACGAGAUCCUUAGCUGUUUUUGUACUUAACACUUAAUUAACUUAAGUUUUCGACCAUCACAAUCAACCAAGAUUAUCGAACUUGAUAGUUUAGUAAACUUGUGAAAGGCUUGUAAACUCAACUUGUAGACUCGUAAGAGUCUUGUUCAUAUAAAAUAUUGACAAAAAAAUAUUUAUGAUACCAAUUUCACAUUAUUAAAAUAAAAAAAUUCAUACAACAACAAAUUUAUUAAGACUUUGACUUCUUUUGUUACUGAAACACAAGGUUCAAAAUCAUAUAUCUUCAAAAUCAUAUAUCUUCCCAACAAAAUGAUGUUUGAAUGUGAAAAAUGUCUCCAUUAAAUAAUAAUUAUAUUUCACUUUUUUAUUGUUAUCUAAAACAUAUCUUCGGUGUUUCCAUCCAAUUUACGCAACAUUUUUAUUUCUAGAUGGAAGUGAUAAAGAUGUACCGACACACACUACCAAUUGCAACCAUUUCCCAACAUAAUAAUUAUUUUAACUUUAUUUUUUAACCACACUAAAAAAGACAAAAUCUUGAUAAAAAAUUAAACUAAUUUUUAGAAUUAAGAUAAAAAAUUAUCUUGAUUUAAUCAUGAAUGUGCAUCACUUUUUUUAGAUUUUUUCUUUUUCAAUAAUUUUAUCUUCAUUCAUUAUAAUAUAAACACAAUCUCAAAAUUUUUUUUUGAACUUUCAACUAAAAAACUUUAGUUAUCUUUAAAGUAGACAUAAACAAAUAUAUGCACAUGCAAAAAUAACCCACUACUAUGGAUGACAAAGUCAGGCAGGUCAACUCAUUAAGAAAGAACGCAGCGGAUGUCCUAUUUCAACUUGGGCUGAUUCUCCCUACACCCAAUCAAAUUGGACCUGUACCCAAUUGCAUUUGUGAAAGUACCGAAAUACCCUUAAUGAAAAUGAAAUUAGGGUUUAGUGAUUUCUGCACCCAAUCACACACCCAAGUUCGUUUAUGCCAUCCUCAUACUCAACAUCAUCUCUCGCACGAGCGUCCGCAUCCUCGCACCUUGGUUGGCAUUUCUCUGGCAGUGUAGUGUUGAGUGGAAGGACCCCUUGAACAAAGACGAAGCUAGGAGCGCGAAGGUCGUCCAUUGUUGCGCGAAGGUUUUAGGGCAUCAUAUGCAUCAGCGCACCCUACAAGCUUUUUCAAAAUAAACAUGACAAUGGUACAAUUGGAUUUUAGAAUGUUUUUCGGGUGCCAAUCACAAUUGAUUGGGUGCAGGAAGAAAUUGCUUUCAACUUGUUGACUUGCUUAGGCUCACCUCGCAUAAUCCGCAGUCCGCACGGGCCAAGUACAAGACGGGACAGGCUAACUCACAACCAACAUAUUUUAAAAAAUUAGACAUUUUUUUGCACCCCAUAAUUUUUUUUUUUAGCCUCAUAAUCUCAAAAAAUUUAAACUAUUCAUUCUAAAUUUUAUAAUCAGUAAUACAAAUUUGUAUUAUAAAGUGUACAAUCUAGAAUGUUGUACAAUCUUAAACCAAAUUUUAACUCUUAGAUUCUAUAACCCUAGAAGUCUCUAAAUUUCACAUUCCGAAAUUAAAGAUAAAACAUUCAACAAAAAAUGUCAAAGGAUAAUUAUAAUAUUUUUUGAAGUAUGGGGUGUAGUAAGUAGGGGUGGCAAUGCGGGCUGGCUCGCCCCGCAUUUGAUUCCCAAUGAGUGCGAUUUCAUUUCAAUGACCACCCCGCAUAAGAGGUAACCGACGGGCCUGAGGGCCAAUCCGCAUAAGAAAAAUAUUUAUUUUCAAAAAUUAAAAUUUCAUCAAAUAUAAAAAAAUUUAUUCUUACUAUGGAAAAAUUACAAUUUUAUACAUGUUUCAAUUCGUUCAAUUAAGAUAAAGUUAUAAAUUCAAGUGUGAGGAUUGUUAGAAGGUUUGAUUAAAAUUAACUAAAGUUUUAUUUUUUGCAUAUAUUUUUCCUAUAUAUGUAUGUGAAUGUAUAAGAAUACCUUAUCAAAGUUUUGUUAUAAAAUAUUUUAAUGAAGAUGACUAAUUUUUUUAACUAUCCUAUUUAAAUCUCUUUUUUUAUAUUUUUUUUAUUAACAAAUUUAAAAUAUAAGAUUUACUUAAAAUCAAAUCCAAUGUCACUCUUCAUACUAACUCCAUGGCUCAACUAAAGACCUGGUCCUGGGUAACCUAUAAAAUUCAUUUUGCUUAUUUUUCCUUUUGUGACUGGUGUUUGGAUCCCUGUUUAAUUAAACAUAAGUGUUUUAUUUAGGUUGGUUAGACUCUAUUUGUUCUAGUAGGAAGUUAGUGAUAAACUUCCCAAAUGAGGGUUGUUAGUUUUUGUGUGAUUUUGUACAUGAGUUUGGAUCACUCAUAAAGUGGUUCUUAUUUAUUUAUUUUUAUUGUUGAUAAAAAAAAACUAACUCCUUUAAAUGAUUAAAAUAAAAUAUUUUUUUUAGUAGAUUAAAUUCAAUUUUUUAAAAUAAAAUAAAUAAAUGUUGCACUACAAGGGUGAAUGAGGUAUGAUUUUUUUUUACAAAAAAUAAAAUAAUAUUUUUUCAUUUAUACGGGUCAACCUGCCCCGCUCCGUUAUUGGUCCGCUCUGGGAGUUAUGCGGGGCAGGUCUAAGCAGGUCAGCAGGGUAGAUUAGUGAGCUCGCCCUGCGCCUUUUAGUAGCGGGUUGCGGGCUGACCCGCCCUACAUUGUCAUCCCUGGCAAUAAGAAAGACAUGGAGGUGCAGGAAGAAACUAUCCUCAAUCCCUAGUUCAUAACACCUUCAUGAAAUUUGAUAAUAGUCUUUUUUUCCUUUUUAAAAUGCAUAAAUUUUAUAGGUUUCAAUAUUCAUCAAAUGUUAAAUGCAUUAGUCAGAUUUUGGCCUUUUUAUAAUAAAAUUUAAAUAUAUAAUAAUAUUAUUAUAUAUAUAUAUAUAUAUUAUUUUUUAAAUUAAAAUAAUAAUCAUGUAUCUACAUGUAUUGUCUUUAAAAAUAUAUAUAUUUAAAGAAAUAUUUAUUAGUCAAUUUAUUAUAAUUUUUUUAUCCAUAUUUUAUUACAUAUGUCGUGAGAAUAAUAUUAUGAAACUAUUUACCUAAAUCAUCUAAAUAAGAAAAAAAUUAUUUUAAUAAACAAAACAAAAUUUUAUUCAAAAUUUAUAUUUAAUUUUUUUCAUUAAUUAAAAAAAAUCUUAUGUGGAUCGGCUUGUGGGUUAGCUAGCAUGCGAGGCGGGCCAAUAAAAGCAACCCGUAUAUUUUACGCGGUACGAACCAACGUAGCCUGCAUUUUGUGGGCCAAAUGCGAGGCAAACGGACCUGCAUUGCCAUCCAUACGCACUACCCUCAUGUUAUCCUAAGGUCGAACAACUCUGAUACCAUAAAUGUAACACCCCCAAUAUUUACUAUACACUUAUUACAAAGUUUAUUGUAAUAUAAUUUUAUUACAAUAAACGUAUUCAAGAACUACAUAAACCAUACAUGGAUUUAUAUAUCAAGGAUAUUUAAUCCAUUUCUGCUCAGGCUAAAAUAUUCCCGCUCAAGUUGACAAAAACUUCUUUCUUUUAUUUUAUUUUUCUUCUUGUCUCAUCAAUGAAUUGGAUUCUUUAGCAAAAAACUUUGCUUGAACAAAAAUAGUGCUAAAAACAAGUUUGAGUGCUUGGUUAUUUUCGCUUGAGCAAAAAUUGGCUUGCUUGAGAAAAAUAUCAAAAAAAUCAACUAUUACAAUAAUACAUAGUCAUUUUUAAAGUUGUACCUUAAAAGCAAUUCAAACUCAAACAUUAAAAAUAUGUUCAACAACACACAACAUCAAAUAGAACAUCAAGUGAUCACAUCACUCUUUAAUUUAGGUUAUUCUGCUAAGGCUCUACCAAAAAUAUAAUUAUUUUUUCUUAUGUGAAAUUCCUUAUUUCAAGAAAAAAAAUCUACCUCAAACAAAAGAACCACUCAAAAUUUAAAGCUCUAAAGCAAAAUAUCCAAACUUAAUUAAAUUUUAAUAUAAGGUUAAUCAAGUUGAUGAUCGCUUUUGACAACUAAUUUUACCAAGAUGGAUGACAAAAUUAGAAGAAAAUAAAAAAAAUAGAGAAUAUUUAGGAUAAAUAAGAACUUAUCCUGUUUUGAAAAUCUAAUUGGAUAAAAAUGAUUUCUAACUCUUUAGCUAUUGUAGGGUGUGAUGAAAAUUUGAAAUAAAUGAAGUGUAAAAAAAGAAAAGUAUAAAGAAAAGGAAAGAAGAAAGAAAAGAAAAAAAAAGAAUAUUAGGAUAUAAUUUCUUAUCUUCUCUUCCAUAUUUGAAGUGGAAUUAUCGUAUAUGAAAUGUUAAAAAAAUGACUACAUUUAUAUUUCUAUUAUGAAAUUGUUUUAUUUGAAAAUAUAUUUUCUUUUACUUACACUGAAUUAUAUUCUAAAUUAUAAUUGAAUUGUGUAUAUAUUUGUUAGUUGCAAUAAAUAAAAAAUAUUAUAAUAAAAGAGAUCAAACAUCUUAUUAAUUUUUAUGUAAUAGAAACUAUUCUCUUUGAAAAUAUGGAAAUAAGAAAGAAAGUGGAGGCAUGAAAGGGAUUUACUUACAAUUAUUCUCAACAACAAAAUAUUUUAUCAUUCAAAAAUUACAUUAUUUAGAAAAAAGAUUAGGAUAUAAUUUUUUUUAUAUUCUCUUUCAUUUAUGAGAUGAAGUGGAAUUAUCGUAUAUAAAAUCUUAAAAAGCUGACUAUAUUUAUAUUUUUAUCAAAUAAGAAUUAAAAAACAGACUUUCCUUAAAAAAUAUAUUUUUCUUUUACUGAAUUAUAUUCUAAAUUAUAAUUAAAUUGUGUAUAUAUUUUUGUAGUUGCAAUAAAUAAAAAAUAUUAUGAGUGUUGACUAAUAGAGAGAUAAAACAAAUUCUUAUUAAUUUUUAUAUUAAAUUGUCUUUUCUACACUCUAAGAAAAACAUACUUACUAAAGUAUGAAGUUAAAGUUGUUCUUAUUUCAUCUGUAUAAAUUUUUUGCCGACUAAAACUGUUUUGAACUUUCACUACAAUUUUGAAAUUUGGAUUUACAAUUAAUAAUAACAGAUGAAAAUUUAUUAAAAGAUCACCAUUAUUUAAAAAUAAAAAUUAUUUGUUUUAAAAUAUAAAAAAAUCGAUUGAACUUAUAAUAUAUAACUAUUUAUAUUAAAAGUUUUUUUUUUCUGUAAAUUAUUUUUAGAAAUUAUGCUAUUAAUUAUUGGUGAGAUCAUAGACUUUUUCCCUUAAAAAAAUCAAAAUAAAACAUUAAGUGUGGAUGACAAUAACUUUUGUACAGCUACAUUAUAUAAUAUUAAUAGCUUUCCUUGACAAUUUGAUUAUUACCCAUCGCAUAUAACUUUAGUUUUAUUAAUCAAACUAUUUAUUUAUGACUUAAUUUAAAUAAACAUUCUCAUGAAAAAAAAUUAAUAUUAAAGUUAUAGUAUCUAAAAUAAUGUUUAGAGAAUCACGGUCUAAAGAAAACUAUAUUUUCAAUUUUCUUUUACCAUGUCAAUCGAAUAAAUUAAUUAAUUAAGUCUUCUAUUAAACUAAUAAAAUUCUAUAUAGAAAAAUUAUAAAUUAUUUAUUUAAAAUUUACAUAUCUUCUCACAUUAAAAUAUGUGAACAAUUUAUUUUAUUAUAAUUGAUUCACAUAAGCUAAAUAAUAAUAAUAAAAGUUAAGAAAAAAUGUAACUAUAUUUAAAUUUCCAUACAUAAUAUACUAAUAAACUAUUUAUUAUAUUAUAUAUUUUCCCGUUAAGUGAGUUGGCGCCCAAAAUCCUCUCUCAAUAUAAAGACAGUAACAGUGAACUAAAGAAACACAACAGAACUAAAUUUCUAAUUUUCUCUCCCUUCGAUUACGAGUUCAAGCGACUCGAGAACAUUCGCCGCAACGUUGAGGUGAUGGCAGCGCUCAAACUCCAUUCUAAAGCCACCCACAACUCUCCAAAGGUACUCUUCUCUCUUCUGUAACUUACCAUUUUUUUGGAAAUCUCCAGAGUUUCUCCAGAGGUGAAACUGAAACCCCGAUUGAAAUAUUAUGUUUUGGUCAAUAUCCAAGAUCAGUUUUGUUGGUAUUGCUUUGGUGAUUUUGUUUUGUUGGUGUUGCUUUGGUUAUUGUCGUGAUUCUCUAUAAGGAUUUGUGGAAUUACAUGAUGUUUUCGUCAUGGGAUAGAAGAGUUAUUAAGAAUUAUUAGCAAGUGAUCAAUGUGCUUUUAUCGGAUUGUGAUUCAUUUACGCCGAAUGUGAUUCUUUGUGAUGAUGGCGAGUUUUAAAUCUUUUGAUCAAAUCUUUUUUGUCUAUGGAUGAAAUGAAAAACAUAAUAGUUCAGAAAGGCCAAUUGAUCCAAGUCUUCUUUUAAUCUCCUUUCUAUUAUUUAAUUUAUAUGGUAUUGAUCACCGAAAAUAAGGAUUGGAUUAUGAUUUGUUUAUUAGUGUUUAUCUGCAUCUGCAUCUUUAUCAUUUUUCUACACUUCUUUUUAGUAAGAGCUUAUUUCGUUUUCUUGAAUUUUUGGCUGUACAGCUAAUUCGUUUCUUGAAUUUUUGGGCUGUAUAGGGAAGGCACGCAAUGGAUGUGUGGUGUAGUGUAAGACAUGAUGUGAAGUAUUAUGUUUUGUUACCCUAAUUUCAGUCUGCUUGAUCUCCAAGGAUUGAAUGGUGUUCCAUGUUGAAUUUUUUCUACUUGAUUUCCAAGGAUUGAAUUGUGUUUGAUGUUUGAAUUAUUUUCACUUAAUGUCCUGCAGUAUCUCAUGGAGUAUGUUAUAUAAGGCCUAAGGGUUGAAUCAUCUUUUAAUUUCUUCUAUGUGUUGAACUGGAGUUGAUCACCGAACAUUAAGAUUUUAAUUGUGAUUUGUUUCUCUGCAGCAGGGUUUUGUUUAGUUUUGUGUGAUGACCUGUAUCUCAUCGUGCCUGUUAUGAGCAACUAAGGCUCCACCGGUUUUGAAUUCAUUAAUUUAUCUUAUCCUUUCUUAAAUUCUUCCCAUGAUGUGUCGAGCCUAUAAGUGGCUCCCUUGGUUUUGAAUUUGUGGCCUCCCUUGGUUUUGAAAUUUUGAAUUUACCUUAACCUUUCUAUACUAUGUCAUGUCAUCUCUUUAAAAGAGAAUAGUUUUCUCGAAUCUCCAUGAUUCUUGUUCAGCUUUUAUUGGAAGGCAAUAUAUAUGUGGGCAGGUUUCAGAAACAGUAAAUGGAGGUCGUGUGAAACUUUAGGUUUUUAUUAUCUUUGCGGUUAUUCUUUUGGCUAAACUUGUGGAGUGGGGUUCUUGUAGACAGGCACUAUAUGACUAUGAGAGGCUUUGACAUUUGUGUUUGUGUCUUCGACUUUGAUUAUCUUCUUCUACGUGUUGCAGUGUCUUUCUACAUGUUGCACUGACUUGCUAUGGAUGUCUGUUGGAUUGUGGAGACAAUUGCGGUAGAUUAUUGGACUUACUGUGAAGCUUUAGGUUUUAUUAUGUUUUCAUUCACUAUCUUAUGUGCUUGAUUUGAAAUGGCUGUAUUCUCUCUUAUUGGUUGAAUAGUAGGAAGCUACACGUGUCAGUCACUGUGUGUCUAAGCUAGGGCGAUUCUUAAUUAUGCUUAUCCUUUAUCUCAUGAUCCCAACUAUCUUCCAAAAUGAGAAUGUUCUCCAUAAUGACAGUAAUAUUUAGUUAUAUUUCCAAUAUGAGAAUGAAAAACUAUCUCUCAAAGCUAUGAGAGACCAAUUCCAAAAGGAAAGCUCCAACAUGAGAGCUCUAUUUACUUCUUUCGGGUUGGGGUCUCAGUAUUUGUGAUAGGAUAUGGAAGCAGACUGUAUCUUAUUUCUAACUAUAUUUCUCAAUCUUAGUCCCUUGCUGAUUUUGGUCUUUAUUAUUUAAUGUUUUUGGACUUGAUCACUUAACAUAUGGGCUGAAUUGUUGUUUAUCUACAAUAGUAUUUCAAAGUAUUUUUGUAAUCUUCUUCGUGCUCUUGGUUUUGAAUGGUGGCUUCCCUUGAUAUUUUAGAUUAGUGAAUUUAUCUUAUUGUUUCUUUACUUUGUCAUGUCAUCUUUUUAAGAAGAUUAGUUUUCUCAAAUCGCCAUGAGUCUUACUUGAGCUUUGUCACGAGUCUUAUUGAACUUUGCCACGAGAAUUCUUGAGCUUUGCAACGAGUAUUCUUGACCUUUUACAUGAAGGAUGCAACGGUCAGGUUUUGGAAAUAGUGGAUGGAGAUACAUUUAAACUUAGGUUUUAUUAUCUUUGCAUUUAUUAUGCUGAUAAAAAAACAUCUUUGCAUUCAUUAUUUUCUUUGUUGUUAUUCUUUUUGCUACUCUUGUGGAGUCGGAGUUCUUGUAAUUGGCCAUUUUACUUGUGUUGUAGUGAACUUUGAGCUUCGCCAUGAGUCUUCUUGACCUUUGCCAUGAGUCUUAUUGAGCUUUGCCACGUGUUUUCUUGAGCUUUGCCAUAAGACUUCUUGAGCUUUGCCAUGAGUCUUAUUGAGCUUUGCCACGUGUUUUCUUGUGCUUUGCCAUAAGACUUCUUGAGCUUUUCCAUGAGUCUUCUUGAGCUUUGCCAUGAGACUUCUUCAGCUUUGCCAUCAGUCUUCUUGUGCUUUGCCACGAGUUGUUCUUGUGCUUUGCCAUCAGGAGUCUUCUUGAGCUUUGCCAUGAGACUUAUUGAGCUUUGCCAUGAGUCUUCGUGAGCUGCCAUGAGUCUUCUUGAGCUUUGCCACGAGUCUUGUUGUGCUUUGCCAUGAGACUUCUUGAGCUUUGCCAUGAGUCUUGUUGUGCUUUGCCAUGAGACUUCUUGAUCUUUGCCAUGAGUCUUGUUCAGCUUUGCCACGAGUCUUCGUGAGCUUUGCCAUGAGUCUUCUUGAGCUUUGCCAUGAGUCUUCUUGUGCUUUGCCAUAAGUCUUCUUGAGCUUUGCCACGAAUCUUCUUGAGCUUUGAGCUUUGCCACGAAUCUUCUUGAGCUUUUACAUGAAGGAUGUAGGGUUCAGGUUUUGGAAACAGCGGAUGGAGUUACAGUUAAAGUUUAGGUUUUAUUAUCUUUGCAUUCAUUAUGCUGAUAAAAAAAAUCUUUGCAUUCAUUAUUUUCUUUGUUGUUAUUCUUUUUGCUACUCUUGUGGAGUGGGAGUUCUUGUAAUUGGGCCUUUGACUUUGAUGAUUUGAUUAUCUUCUAGUUGUGUUGUAGUGAACUUUGAGCUUUGCCAUGAGUCUUCUUGAGCUUUGCCAUGAGUCUUCUUGAGCUUUUCCAUGAGACUUGUUGAGCUUUGCCUUGAGACUUGAUGAGCUUUGCCAUGAGUCUUCUUGAGCUUUUACAUGAAGGAUGUAGGGGUCAGGUUUUGGAAACAGCGGAUGGAGAUACAGUUAAAGUUUAGGUUUUAUUAUAUCUGCAUUUAUUAUGCUGAUAAAAAAAUUCUUUGCAUUCAUUAUUUUCUUUGCUGUUAUUCUUUUUCUACUCUUGUGGAGUGGGAGUUCUUGUAAUUGUGCCUUUGACUUUGAUGAUCUGAUUAUCUUUUUCUACUUGUGUUGCAAUGAACACUUACCAUGGAUGUUUGUUGGACAUAUUGUGAAGCUUCGGGUUUUAUUACUUUUCUACUCACUAUUUUUCUUAUGUGCUCGAUAUGGAAUGUCUAAAGUUUUUCUUAUUGGCUGGAUAGUUGGAAGGUAUUGUAUGUAUCAAAGCAAGAGCGAUACGUCUAGGUCCUCCAUCAUGUACCCUUAUUGAUUAUAGUUUUCUUGAAUUCAUUGGCCUUACACGAAAGCUAAGCAAUGAAGUGUGGUGUAGGAUGUAAAAAUGGUGGGUGGAAAUUCUUUGAUCGGUGAAGCUAAAUCUUUUUUUCACCAGGACAUUGUUGUGUUCAUCUGAAUUAAUUUUUAACUGGCUCAACUUGUGGGUUUGAUUAUAAUCUUGGUUGUAACUUGUUGGUUUGAUUAUAAUCUUGGUUGUAUUUUGAUAAUGUAUGGUUCUAAGAGGAAUUGUGGGAUGAGCAUGAAACAAGUGCGGUUGGGCUUUACUCUUUGAUUUGAUGGUUUGCUUCUUGGUUUGAGAAGUUCUUUCUACUAUUUAAUUUUGAUGACUUCUCUGCAUAAUUCUAUAAUAUAGGUCUUUUGUUCUAUAUAGGUCUUUUGUUCUUUUAAUAGUUUUCCAAAACCUUUCGAUUCAUUAUUCUUGAUCCCAAACUUAUGGGUUGAGUGAACUUCUUUGGAAUUUUUGCACGCUGAAAUUUUUGAAAUUAGUAUAAGAAUGAUCCUGAAAUUGAAAUUAUUUAAAUGCUUCAGUUUUGUUUCAGCAAUCUUCAUAUGUGUUUCUCGUUCCUCGAUUUUUGAAAUUUGCAUUUAUUUGUUUGCAACACAUUGAGUCUUUAUCUGAGGUUUUUCUUUCAGUUUAUUAACUCAACCAGUGAUGGAAUAUAGUGGGACGACUAACAUGUCUAAUCAACCAGUUAUAGAUUUUUUUUCUUUUUUUUCUUUAUUGUUUAUUGAGUUCAGUGUUUUCAAAAUAUUUCUGUAAGCACUUGGGAUUGAAAGUCCAACGUUAUGCCUGACAUUAGAUAAUUGGACUUCUUUUAUUAGUUAUCCAAAUGAAUUUGUUUCAUAUUUGUUCUAUUUGGACAGGAAUUGUAUGAAGAAAGAUAAUGGAGUUUUGGAGGUAAAUUUGUUUCAUAUUUGUUCUAUUUGGACAGGAAUUGUAUGCGAGAAAGAUUAUGAAGUUUUGGAGGUGAAUUUGUUAAUUCCAGUCAAAACGACGAAGAAAUCUUGAUAAAGUAGUUGUCCUUGUUAUUCUAUUUCUCUACCCAAUCCAGGUGUUGCAUUAAUCCCUUUUCAGCAUACAGAACUGUGAUCGAUCUUAAGUUUGUAUGCAACGACGUUUUUGAAAAUUUUGUGUCACAGACUUAUUAUUAGGACUUAUUACCUUGAUUUUAUCUGAUCAUUUUGGACUUGGUAUCCUCUUUUGUGGGUUUUGGUUUGGUUUCAAUUUUCAGUAAUGUCUGAUAAGUUGGCAGUAUUGGAUUUCCUUGUUUGCAUAUCAGAAACUGAACCAAUCUCAAGGCAUUAAGUUUUUAUAGUUGGAGUAGUAUGAGACAACUUUGUUUCUCUGAAAUUUAGAUAGUCUGUUUAAUAUUGCAUGGUAGGUUUUUUAUACUAUGUACAAGUAUAUCCAGUUUUAUUUGGAUAUUUUUUAGGAACAAUGCUUUUGGAAUAGGAUUGUUUGAGUGCUACCAUGGGAAAGUUCAACUUGAAACGACAACAACUCAUAAUAGCCUAAUUUCUUCUCUAUGAGGUUUCACCAUUUAUUUUACUUCUAAGGACUUGAGCACCAACAUUAGGAUUGAAUUGUGAUUUGUUUUUCUACAGUGGUUUAUGAUUGGAUUCAAUCAAUGUCUGGAUCUCAUCGAGCCUUUAAUGAGAUUGUUUCUGAGUUUAAGAAAACGUCUAAUAUUUUCUAAAAUUCCUCCCUUGGAACAAGUGUUUUUAGUUUUCUUGAAUUUUUGCUCUUUAUAGGUAAGACAAGCAAAGGAUGUGAGGACAUGUAGAAACAUGGGGAUCAAUUGAAGCCUUAGUUUGUGUUAAUUCGUGACUAGUUAUUUGAGUGCAGUUUUUUUAUUUGGUGACAAAGAUCUAUCAAAAUAAAAAAAUUAGUUUAAGAUUUCCUCUCUAUUUGAUAUUUUCAGAUUUGAUCACCAAAUGUAAGGAUUUUCUGUCGUCAUUUGUUUUUCUACAGUGAUGUUUGCAUUAUGUUUCAUGCUACGUCUAAUGGAUCAUGUUAUCUGGAAGUUUUUAUGGCUCUUGGUAACAGGCUUUACAAGGGUUUUCAGAGGAUCAGUAAUUUUAGAGGUGAUACCUAUUAUCAUAAUUGUGUGUUGCAGUGUGAAUUGUUCAAGUUUAUUCAUCUGCAAAAGGAAUCAGUUCUUCAUUCAUCUUUGCAGAAGAUUAGAUGGCUUGUUCAAGUUUAUUCAUUUGCAAAAGGGAUCAGUUCUUCAUUCAUCUUUGAAGAAGAUUAGAUGGCUAACUUUAUUGUCCGUUCAUUUGAUCCAGUAAGAGCCCAUUCUAGAAAUGUGGACUUCUCUUUUUUGUUCAUUUUUAGAUUUGGAAUUGUUUAAGUACCAACAACAUGAUUUCAUGGUCUCUUAUGAUUUCUCCUGAAUUCUUAGUUGUUGUCCUACUACCAACCAUGUGUGUAAAAGUUUGAAAUAUACGUUGUGGAUAUUUUCUAGGGAUAUAUAUAUAUAUAUAUAUAUAUAUAUAUAUAUAUUUAGUUGCUAGUUUUAUUUUUGAUUGAAUUACAUAAAUGAUUUAUUAAUAUGAUUAUUUGAUUAUAUCAGAGUUGUAGUGCUUUUUAUAAAAUUGUUCUUGGUAGUUAUGUAAUUGUUCAUGGUUGUUUUAUUACCUUUAAUAGUUAUUGUUUUUGGAAAAAUAAUCUAGAAGUCCUUUGUUGGCUUUUGAUUCUCUAACAUUUUUUUUUUAAUUUUAUAGUAGUUGUAUAUUGCUUUGACAAUUUAGUUUAGUUUUUUUAAUUGACUCUGAUUGUUAAUUAAAUAUUUAUUUACAUUAGAAUGUUGAUGAUGUAAAUGAUUUCUUUUAAUGUUGAUUAUGAUUCUAUUUUAUAAAAUAUUGUGUUAUGGUAAUCAUUAAUUAAUUGCUUUGUAUGCACUCAUUUAUCAUAUUGUUGUAUGACAAAUCUUAAAGCUCCCUAAGAGAAAGGUUCAUGGGUUGCUGUGUGGAAAGUUCUAAAACACGCUCAAUAUAGUAAAUUAUGGAUCAUGUGCUUUUACGGAAGAAUUAUUAAUAAAUUGAAGUACAUGAAUUCUUAGUAUAAUUCUCUAGUUGAUGAUGACGAGUUUUUAACCUUUCGCUUAAAUUUCUUUGCACCUUUUAAGCUUAUGGCUGGUUCACUGAUAUUUCUUUUGCCUUUGGAUGAUAUGAAAACCCCAACAGCCAAGGGCUAAGCAUAACGGAAGUCUUUUGAGUUUCCCUUUUAUUAUUUUUUUUUCUGGUAUUGAUGACCGAACAUAAGGAUUGAACUAUGAUGUGUUUAUCUGCAGUGGUGUUCGGAUUAGUUGGGUAUAUUCGCAUUAUCAAGUUUCUAUACUUCCUCUUAGCAAGAGCGGUUAUUGUUUCCUUCAAUUUUUUGACUGUAAAGGGUUUAUCGUUUCCUUCAAUAAAAUUUGAUAUUCGUGUUCAUUCCUUUUCAGCAAGUCAAGAGUCUCUGAGAUUUCUUUUGGCGGUUGAGGAACAAGAUGGUUUUACAGGAUAUUCUAAUUUCUCUAUACUUGAUCACCAACAUUGAAUAGUGAUUUGUUCUUAUGCAGUAAACAUAAAGAUUUAUUUUUGAUUUGUUUCUCUACAGCAAUGUUUUGAUUUUUUCGUAUCUAAUAGUUCUUUAUUACUAGUUAUAGUUCUGUUAAUUUCUCUAGCAAGAGCUCAGGACUAUUUGGAUUCAAUUUUUUUAUAACAAAACUUUAUUUUGUCUUUAAUAGUUUCCUUCAUUGACAAAUAAAUUUUGAACUCGGUUCUAGCAAAGCAUCAAUGUCUUUGCCUAAUUUGUGUUUCAAGAUUAUUGAUCUUUCGUAUUGAAGUUCUGAAAAUUAUAUUUUUUUCUUAGGUGGAGAAGUAUUGAAAAGAUGGAUCUUGAAGUUAUUCCUUUCAUUUUAGUAGUGUAACUAGCAAGAGCUCAAGAUUAUUUGCCGCCAUUCUUUGAUUACAGAAGUUUUUAUUUUGUUUGUUUCUUGCAUUGACAAAUGAAUUUUGAACUUGUUCUUGGAUAAUUUAUCUUUGGGAGAAAAUGAAUUGGUGGUGUAGGUUUGGGAAACAGUGGAUCAGGACACCCUGUGGAAAUUUAGGUUUUAUUAUGUGUUUAUUAUUUUCUUUGCUGCUAUUAUUCAUGGAUAAACUUGUGGAUUGGGAAUGCUUACCUCUUUAUGACAGGCACCGUAAAUGUCUGUGUCAGCCAUUUAAUUUUCUCUUUCUAGUCCACAGACAUUUCUUUCAGCAACUGAGUCAUUUAAUCGCAAAGAGAGUUUUGUUGCCUUUCAUGUUCUUUGUUGUCAAAACAACCUUGUUUCUUUUUUAUCAGCUAUAGUAUUUAGUUUCACUGCGAUCUCGGGAUGUGUUAUUUGGAAGUGAUGUGGUUACUCAUUUAAGGAUUGACGUGUUAUUUGGAAGUGAGGUGGUUAUUCAUUCGAGGAUUGAAUUCCAUUCCCUUUGACUUGCAUUGUUUGUGUUCAUUGCUAUCAAACAACUUUCUUCAUUUUAAAUGUAUGGAGUCUAUUUUUUUAAGAUGAAAUCCCCACUAAAUGUUUAUGUUUUAUUUUUUCUUUCUUUUUCAUCAUCUCCUAGUUAUUUGUGUUUCUCAUAGGCUUGGUCUCAUCCCUUCGACUUGCAUAUGUUUGUGUUCAUUGCUAUUGAACAACUUUCUUUUUUGCCAUUAGUCUUCUGGAGCUUUGCCAUGAGACUUCUUGAGUUUUGCCGUGAGACUUCUUGAGUUUUGCCGUGAGACUUCUUGAGCUUUGUCACAAGUCUUCUUGAGCUUUGCCACGAGUCUUCUUGAGCUCUGCCAUGAGUCUUCUUGAGCUCGGCAAUGAGUUUUCUUGAGCUUUGUCGUGAAGAAUGUAGGGGUCAGGUUUUGGAAACCGUGGAUGGAGAUGCAGUUAAAGUUUCGGUUUUAUUAUCUUUGCAUUUAUUAUGCUGAUAAAAAAAAUCUUUGCAUUCAUUAUUUUCUUUUUUGAUAUUCUUUUUGCUACUCUGGUGGAGUGGGAGUUCUUGUAAUUGGACCUUUGACUUUGAUGAUUUGAUUAUCUUCUACUUGUGUUGUAGAGAAUUUUGAGCUUUGCCAUUAGUCUUCUUGAGCUUUGCCAUGAGUCUUCUUGAUCUCUGCCUUGAGCCUUCUUGAACUCUGCCAUGAGUCUUCUUGAGCUUUGCCAUGAAUCUUCUUGAGCUUUGUCAUGAAUCUUCUUGAGCUUUUACAUGAAGGAUGUAGGGGUCAGGUUUUGGAAAUAGUGGAUGGAGAUACAGUUAAAGUUUAGGUUUUAUUAUCUUUGCAUUUAUUAUGCUGAUAAAAAAAAUCUUUGCAUUCAUUAUUUUCUUUGCUCCUAUUCUUUUUGCUACUCUUGUGGAGUGGGAGUUUUUGUAAUUGGGCCUUUGACUUUGAUGAUCUGAUUAUCUUCUUCUACUUGUGUUGCAAUGAACACUUACCAUGGAUGUUUGUUGGACAUAUUGUGAAGCUUCAGGUUUUAUUACUUUUCCACUCACUAUUUUUCUUAUGUGCUCGAUUUGGAAUGUGUACAGUUUCUCUUAUUUGUUGGAUAGUUGGAAGGUAUUUCAUUGUAUUGUAUGUAUCUAAGCAAGAGCAAUACUUCUAGGUCCUCCAUCAUCUAACCAUAUUGAUUAUAGUUUUCUUGAAUUCAUUGGCCUAAAAGGAAAGCUAAGCAAUGAAGUUUGGUGUAGGAUGUAAAAAUGGUUGGUGGAAAUUCUGUGAUCAGUGAAGCUAAAUGUUUCUCUCAUUAGGACAUUGUUGUGUUUAACUGAAUUAAUUUUUAACUGGCUAAACUUGUUGGUUUGAUUAUAAUCUUGGUUGUAUUUUGAUGGUGUAUGGUUCUAAGAGGCAUUGUGGGAUUAGCAUGAGACAAGUGUGGUUGGGCUUUACUCUUUUAUUUGAUGGUUUGCUUCUUGGUUUGGAAAGUUCUACUAUUUAAUUUUGAUGACUUCUCUGCAUAAUUCUAUAAUAUAGGUCUGUUGUUCUUUUAAUAGUUUUCCAAAACCUUUUGAUUCAUUAUUCUUGAUCCCAAACAUAGAAUUUUUGCAUGUAAUCUCGUGUGAUCCUAGACAACAAUGUCUCUUACUAUGAUGACGGACAUCAAUGUCUCUUACGCUGAAAUUUUUGAAAUUAGUAUAAGAAUGAUCCUGAAAUUGAAAUUGUUUAAAUGCUUCACUUUUGUUUCAACAAUCUCAUGUGUUUCUCGUUCCUUGAGUUUUGAAAUUUGCAUUUAUUUGUUUGCAACACAUUGAGUCUUUAUUUGAGGUUUCUCUUUCAGUUCAUUAACUCAGCAAGUGAUGGAAUAUAGUGGGACGACUAACAUGUUUAAUCAACCAGUUAUAGAUUUUUUUCUUUUUUUCCUUUAUUGUUUAUUGAGUUGAGUGCUUUGAAAAUAUUUCUGUAACCAAUUGGGAUUGAAAGUCCAGCGUUAUGCCUGGCAUUAGAUAAUUGGACUUCUUUUAUUAGUUAUCCAAACCGUUCAUUUUUUUCAUAUUUGUUCUAUUUGGACAGGAAUUGUAUGCGAGAGAGAUAAUGAAGUUUUGGAGGUGAAUUUGUUAAUUUCAGUUACGACUAUGGAGGAAUUGUAUUUUGGAGGUGAAUUUGUGAAUUUGUAUGAGACAACUUUGUUUCUCUGAAAUUUAGAGAGCCUCUUUAAUAUUGCAUGGUAGUUUUUUUAUACGAUAUACAAGUAUAUCCAGUUUUAUUUGGAUAUUUUUUAGCAACAAUGCUUUUGGAAUAGGAUUUGUUUGAGCGCUACCAUGAGAAAGUUCAACUUGAAACGACAACAACUCAUAAUAGCCUAAUUCCUUCUAUAUGAGGUUUCACCUUUUAUUUAACUUCUAAGGACUUGAUUACCAACAUUAGGAUUGAAUUGUGAUUUGUUUUUCUACAGUGGUUUAUGAUUGUCUUCAAACAAUGUUUGGAUCUCAUCGAGCCAGUUGGUUUCUGAGUUAAGAAUUUUUCUAAUAUUUUCUAAAAUUCCUCCCCUGAAACAAGUGUUUUUAGUUUUCUUGAAUUUUUGCUCUUUACAGAUAAGACAAGCAAUGGAUGUGUGACGACAUGUAGAAACAUGGGGAUCAAUUAAAGCCUUAGUUUGUCUUAAUUGGUGACUAGUUAUUUGAAUGCAGUUUUAUAUGUGGUGACAAUGAUCUAUCAAAAUAAAAAAAUUGGUUUAGGAUUUCCUCUCUAUUUGAUAUUUUCAGAUUUGAUCACCAAAUAUAAGGAUUUUCUGUUGCCAUUUGUUUCUCUGCAGUGAUGUUUGCAUUAUGGCUUUACAAGUCUUUCAGAGGAUCAGUAGUUUCAGAGGUGAAUUGUGUGUUGCAGUGUAAAUUGUUCAAGUUUAUUUAUUUGCAAAAGGGAUCAAUUCUCCAUUCAUUUUUGCAGAAGAUUAGAUGGCUAACAUUAUUGUUCGUUCAUUUGAUCCAGUAAGAGCUCAUUCUAGAAAUGUGGACUUCUCUUUAAAAGCCUUUGGUAUUUUAACUAUCUUCAAAAGAUAUUUUUUCUGGAUCUAUUGUUUUGACAGAGCAGGUCUUCGAGGAAGACACGAGUGUUGUUGAUUUUUAGAUUUGGAAUUGUUCAAGUACCAACAACAUGAUUUCAUGAUCUCUUAUGAUUUCCCCUGAAUUCUUGGUUGUUGUUUUGCCAGGGUAGGGUCUGGGUAGAUUUGGGUUUUUGGAUUCGGAAUUGUCCAACUACCAACAAUGUGUGUACAGGUUUGAAAUAGAUGAUGUGUUUGUCAGAUAUUUUCUAGGGAUAUAUAUAUAUAUAUAUAUAUAUAUAUAUAUAUAUUUAGUUGCUAGUUUUAUUUUUCAUUCAAUUACUUAAUUGCUUUAUUACUAUGAUCAUUUGAUUAUAAAAUUAUUCUUGGUAGUUAUAUAAUUAUUCAUGGUUGUUAGAUUACCUUUAAUAGUUACUGUUGUUGGAAAUAUAAUCUAGAAGUCCUUUGUUGGCUAAUGAUUCUCUAACAUUUUUUUUAAUUUUAUGGUAGUUGUAUUUUGCUUUGACAAUUUAGUUUAGUUUUUUUUAUUAACUCUGAUUGUUUCCAGCAUCGACACAUGAAUUUUGAACUUGUUCUUGCAUAAUUUAUCAUGGGAGAAAAUGAAUUGGUGGUGUAGGUUUGGGAAACAGUGGAUCAAGACCCUAUGGAAAUUUGGGUUUUAUUCUGUGUUUAUUAUUUUCUUUGCUGCUAUUAUUCACGGAUAAACUUGUGGACUGGGAAUGCUUACCUCUUUAUGACAGGCACUGUAAAUGUCUGUGUCAGCCAUUUAAUUUUCUCUUUCUAGUCCGCACUCAGACAUUUCUUUCAGCAACCAGUCAUUUAAUCGGAAAGAGAGUUUUGUUUCCUUUCAUGUUCUUUGUUGUCAAAACAACCUUUGUUUCUUUCUUAUCAGCUAUAGUAUUUAAUUCACUGCGAUCUCAGGAUGUGUUAUUUGGAAGUGAUGUGGUUAUUCAUUCGAGGAUUGAUGUGUUAUUUGGAAGUGAGGUGGUUAUUCAUUCGAGGAUUGAGUUUCAUUCCCUUUGACUUGCAUUUUUUUGUGUUCAUAGCUAUCAAACAACUUUCUUCCUUUGAAAUGUAUGGAGUCUAUUUUUUUAAGAUGAAAUCCCCUCUAAAUGUUAAUGUUUUAUUUUUUUUCUUUCUUUUUCAUCAUUUCCUAGUUAUUUGUGUUUCUCAUAGGCUUGGUCUCAUCCCUUCGACUUGCAUUUGUUUGUGUUCAUUGCUAUUAAACAACAUUUUUUUUAAAUGUAUGGAGUCUUUUUUGUUACGUCUAGAGAUGUUGAUUUGCUUGUUUUCAUUCCGUUUUAGGUGUUGAUUUGUUUGCGUUCAUUCCUUUUUAGGUGUUGAUUUGUUUGUGUUCAUUCCUUUUUAGCAUUUGGAGGCCUCAAGAAUGGUUGAGGAUUAAAAUCUGGAAGUGUUUAGAACGACCAAUAAUUCAGGAUAACCUAAUUUCAUUAGUUUCCUUUCCAUUUGAUUUCUUGAGAUUUGAUCACGAAGAAUAAGGAUUGAAUUGUCAUUUGUUUUUAUGAUGUCUUUCUUUGUUUUGAAUGUCUUAUUGUCUCUAUACUUCAACUCUAUGAGCCGUUGUAGCCUUCCUGAAUUCUUGGGGUGUACAGUACAGGACAAACAUGCAACAGAUGUUACGUAGGACAGAUGUGAGUAUCCUUAAAGCUCUAGGUUUUGGUAUCCACACAUAUUUUUGUCUUUAAUUGGGACUGGCUAUUUGAAUUUCUCUGGUUUUUGAAUUCCUUCAAUUCAUCUUAUGCUUUCUUAACUUCUUGGUCUUUAUUACCAAUAUCUAUUUUUAUUUAAAUAUAGUUCUUAAAUUUUUUAUGUCUAGGUGUUGAUUCGUUUGUGUUCAUUUCUUUUUAGCAUGUAAGACUGGUUAAGGAUUAAAAUCUGCUAGUGUACACGAAAAACAAGCCACGGAUGUGAGGUAGGAUAUCUAAAUACUGGAAGGAGAUGCUUGAUUCUGUAGGUUAUCCAUAAUCUUUGAUGACAGAUGCUUACUUGAGUUUGGAUGUAGUUAUUUAUUUGAUGAAAGAGAUCUAUCAUAUGUAACUUUGUGUUAGUUCCUUUUCAGCAGGGGAUUCUGGUUGAGGAUUAAAAAACAUAAAUUUGAAUAUUGAUUUUGUUUGAUUAUUGAAAUAUGACAAAUCUAGCUGUUUGAUCUUUGAAUAUGUUGAUUCUUUUUAGCAAAUCAUAGGUUAGUAAUAAUAAAAUGCUCAGGGAAGAUGUCUCCCCUUUACUUGAAACAUUGUAGAUAGAGCAUAUUUUUCCAGACUGAUAUGCGAGGUAGGGUGUGGAAACACUUCCCAGGGGAUUUGUGAAGCUUUAGGUUGUUACCUGUUAGAUAUUAUUAGAUAUUAUUAGAUAUUAUUAGAUAUUAUUAGAUAUAAUUAGAUAUUAUUUGAUAUUAUGAGAUAUUAUAGAUAUUGUUAGAUAUCUCAUAUUUAUGUAAUGGGCUUAGCCCAUAUGUUUCUUUUCCUAUAUAAACAUAACCCUAUGUGUUCAAUAUACACAAGGGAUUUACCCUAUUCUUUCUUUUCCUUUAAUAUUACCCUUACCAUUCUUGUGUCUUUAUUUGUGACUGACUAAACUUCUUGUUUGGAUUCUAAGUUUUGGUUGGAUUCAUUGCUAACAUUGUAGUUUGACUGGCAGUCUGGCAGUUCUUGUGGGUUUAGAGGUCGUGUAAUACUCUCUUUUUUAAGUUGUCCAUUUCUAAGUAAUUUAGGCUUCUCUUAGCUUUUACCAGUCCUGGAUUCAUAGUGAAAUUUGACCCUUUUACAUGGUGCAAUUGAAAUUAAGGAGAGAAUUAUUGAUCUUUAGUUUUCUAGUACUGAAUUAAUUUUGGAUUUGUUUUGGUGUAGCAAAUCUGAAAGGUCAUUUUCUUAGUUAUUACUUCAUUUACUAAAUAAUCAAGAGCAUUGGACAAUUUGAUUUUGUAGUGUUUUGUUUGCUGCAUUGACAAAUGAAUCUUGCAUUCUAUUGUUUUUAGGAGUUUUAGAUUACAUCCUGAAUAUGACAUGAUGAUCUCUUCUAUCUUCCAAAAUGAGAAUGAUCUGCAACAUUAGAGUUGUAUUUAGUUCUAUGUCCAAUGUGAGAAUGAGAAAAUUAAGAGCUCUAUUUAGUUUUAUCUCCAAUUAUCUCUAAUAUGAGAAUGAGAAACAACAGUAGUUGGAAUGUUUUCUUGCAAUCUUCCUGUGCUAUGAUUUAGUUCUCUCUCCAUAUAUGAGAAUAAGAAAAUGAGAAAGAGAAACAAGAUUAUUUGGAAUGUUUUGUAGUAAUCUUCUUGCACUAUGAUUCGGUUCUCUCCCAAUAUGCGAAUGAGAAACAACAAUAUUUGGAAAGUUUUGUCGUAAUCUUCUUGUGCUAUGAUUCGGUUCUGUCCCCAAUAUGCGAAUGAGAAGAUGAGAAACAACAGCUUAUGAGAGCUCCAUUUGGUUCUAUCUCCAAUAUGAGAAUGAGAAACAACAGUACAUGAGAGUUCUAUUUAGUUUUAUCUCUAAUACGAUAAAGAAGAGAAACAAAAGCAUUUGGAUUGUUCUCUUUGUAAUCUUCGUGUGCUAUGAGCAACGCCUCCCCUCGAGGCUAUGGUUACGGGUGAUGCCUCUCUAUUCCAACAUGAGAGCUCUAUAUAUUUUUUUGGGGUGGGGUCUCAAUUUAUGAUACCAUGUGGAAGCAGACACCAUAUUUUUGCCGUCUAUAUUUCUCAGCUCUUGCUGAUUUUGCCAUGCUGAACUUAGUUUUCUUGAAUUGCCAUUCUUCUUAAAUUUUUACAGUAAAGCAAUAGAUAUGUGGGGGCAGGUUUUGGAAACAUUGUAUGGAGAUCUGGUGAAACUUUAGAUUUUAUUAUCUUUGCAUAUUCAUCAUUUUCUUUGAUGGCUAAACUUGUGGAUUGGGAGUUCUUGUAAACAGGCACUAUGUGAGUUUGAGAGGCUUUGGCAAUUGUGUUGUUAGGCCUUCGAUCCUGGUGAUUUGAUAAUCUGUUGCAGUGAAGACUUUAUGGAUGUCUGUUACCCAAAUUACGGUACAUUAUUGGACUUACAUUUCCAUUUCACUAUUUUUUUUAUAUCCUUGAUUUGGUUGUGGUAUCUCUUAUUGGUUGAAUAGUGGGAAGGCACAUGUGAAUCUUAUGAUGUAUUGCCUUUAAUAGUUUUUGCUGUUGGAAAAAUAAUCUAGAAGUCCUUUCUUAGCAAAUUAUUCUCAUUAUUGUAGAAAUUCUAUAACAUUUAUUCAGGUUUUACUUUCUACAAUUAGUUUAUUUUUAUCCACUCCGAUAACUAAUUAAAUAUUUACUUUCUCUAGAAAGUAGACUAUGUGAUUGAUAUAUUUUAAUGUUAUUCAUAAAUUAGUUCUUUAUAUUAAUCAUUACAAAAAUGUUUGGUAUACACUCAUAUUUAUCAUAUUGCCUUCAAGUAGAAAGGUAUUUGUAUAGGGCAAUUGCUUCCUCCCCCAAUCAAUUUUGACUAGCAUUCAAUAGAAGUUUUAAAACUUCAUUAUGCCUUUUUCACGGCUUACGAAUGCCAAUAUCCAAAAGUGACAUAUUUGCCUAUGGAUAUUGCCAUUUGGAAGUGAUAGUUUUGCCUACGGAUAUUAACAUUCGAAAGUGUCAGUUUUGCCUACGGAUAUUGACAUUUGGAAGUGUCAGUUUUGCCUACGGACAUUGGCAUCUGGAACUGGCACUCUUUGAUUGCGUUCAUUUUUAUCCGAAAGGCACUAUCAUUUUUCUUAAUAUACAUAUCAGGAAGCCAAUCAUCCUUAACUUUUUUUUUUGGCAGUGUAAUGAUUUUGUUACUUUUAAUGGAUUAAAACCACUAAACCGAACCAAUUUAAAGAAUAAAAGUAAAAUCAACAUUAAAAUUUGUUACUUGCUUUUUAUUAUAAAAUAUUUAUAUUAUCAUUUAUAUAUUUUCAAAUGCAUUAACCAUUGAUGACAUAUAGAACAUUGUUGAGAGUAGAAAAAAAGCACCCAAUAAACACAUUUUGGAUUUUCAAAAUGGGACCUGAUGAAAAAGACUUUCGUGGUGCAUAUGGAUGUUUAUAUUCAUAACUCAUAACACAAUUACGGACAAAAAUAUUCAGAACCCGUGAGAAGCGUGAAGCGACACGUCUCCUUUUCUGGUGUCUUUGCUUUCUGUCGUUGUUGAAGUGGCUCAAAAGCGUUGCUUGCGUGUGUGUAAGACUUUCGGAAGAGAAUGUCUACAAGAAACAAUGAAUGACCUUCUGCACUGUGCUUGAUUGUGGGGUGUAUGGAACCUAAUUUCACUCAUUAAGGGUGUCAUGGUAAUUUCAUAUAGAUCAUUAAGGGUGUUAUGGUAAUUUCAAACAGAAAAUUGGGUGUUAGUUAGAAUUGAUUGGGUGCAGGAGAGUCAGCUUUGUGUAGCAAUAAAAAGUCACAAAGAAAUCUAUUCAACUCUAAAAGGUUGUGAUAUUUAACACCACAAAGAGUAAAAAACAUUCACAAAUUAAUAAAAUAAUAUUUUAAUCAUAUUUAAUUUAUUUUUAUUUUUAAAUAUUAUUAUAUUAUUAUAAUGAGAUGUUAAGUAUACGUUUUUACAUGGUGUCAAAAAAUUAUUUUCCUAUUCUAAAAGAACUUAGACAAAUGUCUUAUUAUAAUAAAACUAAUAAUGUGGAAAAUAUUUUAAAAAACACUAAUAAAAGAAAUAAGUUUAUUUUUCAAAUUGAAGUCAAAUUAAGAUUAAAACAAUCUUAAAAUUUAAUUAUAUUGACUAAAAAGUUAAUAAAAACAAAACAAUAUUUACAAGAUAUUUUUAAAUAUCUUUAAAAUAAUAACUGCAAAUUUGUUUCCCCUGUUUUGUGUCAGCGGUUUGUUAUAAGAUAAGGAUGAAAAUCUUAAUUGCAUAUUUUCACCUCACCGCGUAAUAUAAGCUGUCAAUCUUGACCCUCCCUUUCUAUAUAUACCCGAAGAUCUUAUUGAGUUUAUCAUAUUGAGUUUUGUUGGUAUUGGUUCCGUGAUUGAGUUUUGUUAGUACUGAUUGGGGGUGAUUGUUGUGCUUCUUAUUAUCAAGUCUCCGUGGUUUCGUCGAAUUAUAUCAUGUUUGCUAUCAUCGAUGUGGUUUUGAUGUGGUUUUGUCGGAUUGAAGAAUGCAAGAAUCUUUUAUAGGAUUGAAGAACGCCAAUUCUGAAUAUGAUUCUUUAUGUGAUGAUGACAAGUUUUGAAUCUUUUGAUCAAAUUCCUUUAUCCCUUUUCUGCUGGUGACGGGGUCUUUGAGUAUUUUCUUCUACUUUCCUUUCUAUUAUUUGAUUUAUCUGGUAUUGAUCACGAAAAUAAGGAUUGGACUAUGAUUUGUUUAUCUGCAGUGGUGUAACACGUUUCUUAGUUAGUUUUCUUGAUUUUUGGGCUGUACAGGGAAGACACGCAAUGGAUGUGAAAUGAAGUAUUAUGUUUUCUUGACUUCUUAUGGGUUUAUUCGUGACUGAUUAUUGGAUUUCGUAGCCUAACUUGGUGUUUAUGUUCACUCCCCUUCAGCAAUUCGAGUUUCUGAGAUUUGAAACCCUAAAAAGUUUGAAACGGUUGCAGCUCAGGACAUCCCAAUUCUCUCUAUCUAUUGUUUAAUUUCUCUCUACUUUAUCUCCAAGGAUUGAAUUGUGUUCGACGUUUGAAUUAUUUUCCCUUAAUGUUAUGAGGCCCCAAGGGUUGAAUUGGUGUUUGAAUUAUUUUUUUCGCUUAAUGUCCUGCAGAGUAUGUUAUGAGACAUAAGGGCUGAAUUGUGAUUUGUUUCCUGUUUGGAUGAUUUGCAUAGCAUCUUAUAGAAUAUGAAUGGUUUGGUUUUCGCACGGUUCUCGCGAGUAUGUUAUAGCCACCAUUCUUCCUUGGUUUUUAAGUCUUCAAUUUAUCUUAUCGUUCUAUACUUCAUCCUCGAUUACCAGUUAUACUUUGUUGAAUUAUUGUUCUUUACAGGGAUGAGUGGGGAUAAGACAGGGAUGUGUGGGUAGGACGUUCCUCGUGGUUGGUUGAAAAUGGUGGAUGAGCCAUGCUCGACGGUAUGAAAAACACAACGACAAUGGGCUCGACAUAACCGAAGUCUUUUUUGAGUUUUCCUUCUAUUUUUCUUCAACAUAAGGAUAUGAUUUGUUUAUCUGCAGUGGUGUUUUGAACCUUUUGCGUAAAUUUCUUUGCUCCUUUUCAGUUGGUGGCCGAUUCUCUGGCGUUUCUUUAGCUUUUGGAUGAUUUGAAAACUAGAACGACCAAGAGCUAGGCAUAACCUAAGUCUUUGUUGAGUUUCCCUUCUUUAACUUUUUUUUCUGCUAUUGAUCACAGUACAUAAGGAUUGAACUAUGAUUUGUUUAUCUGCAGUGGUGUUUGGAUUAGUUGGGUAACGACACAUACUCAUCUUAUCAUGUUCCUAUAACUAGUAAAUUCAUUUACUGAAUUUUGAGUAUAAUUGUCUAUUUGAGUAUGACGAGUUUUAUACCUUUUGCGUAAAUUUCUUUUCAGCUGGUGGCUGGUUUUUUGGUAUUUCUUUUGCCUAUGGAUGAUAUGGAAAGCACAACGACCAAGGGCUCGACAUAACCUUAAGUCUUUUUUUAGUUUCCCUUCUAUUUUUGUUAUGGUAUUGCAUAAGGAUUGAACUAUGAUUUGUUUAUCUGCAGUGGUGUUUGGAUUAGUUGGGUAACGUCACAUAUUAAUCUUAUCAAGUUUCUAUAAUUAGUAAAUUCAUUUAUGUCUAUAUGAGAAUGACGAGUUUUGAACCUUCUGCGUAAAUUUCUUUGCACCUUUUCAGCUGGAGUUCUCUGUCAUUUCUUUCUCCUAUGGAUGAUAUGAAAAGCAGAAGGACCAAGGGGCUCGACAUAACCUAAGUCUUUUUUGACUUUUUUUUUCUAUUUUUCUUUUUCCUGGUAUUGAUGACAGUACAUAAGGAUUGAACUAUAAUUUGGUUAUCUGCAGUGGUGUUAGGAUUAGUUGGAUAACGACGCAUAUUCAUCUUACAAGUUGCUAUAACUAGUAAAUUCAUUUAUGUGAAUUUUGAGUAUAAUUCUCUAUUUGAGUUUGACAAGUUUUAAACCUUUUGCGUAAAUUUAGUUUCAGCUGGUGGCUGGUUUUUUUGCCUUUCUGUUGCCUAUGGAUGAUAUGAAAAGCACAAUGACCAACGGGCUCGUCAUAACCUAAGUCUUUUUUGAGUUUUCCUUCUUUUUUUCUUUUUCCUGGUAUUGUUCACAGUACAUAAGGAUUAAACUAUGGUUUUGUUUAUCUGCAGUGGUAUUUGGAUUAGAUGGGUAACAACGCAUAUUCAUCGUAUCAAGUUUCUAUAACUAGUAAAUUCAUUUACGUCAAUUUUGACUAUAGUUCUCUAUUUGAGUUGACACUAUAGUUCUUUAUUUGAGUAUGACGAGGAAAAUUACUUAAAUUUCUUUUCAGCUGAUCAAGGGCUCAACAUAACCUUAAAUCUUUUUUGACUUUCCCUUUUAUUAUUUUUUUUAGGUAUUACAUAAGGAUUGAACUAUGAUUUGUUUAUCUGCAGUGGUGUUAUGAUUAGUUGGGUAACUUCACAGAUUCAUCUUAUCAAGUUUCUAUAAUUCAUUUAGGUGAAUUCUGAGUAUAAUUCACUAUUUGAGGAUGAUGAGUUUUGAACAUUUUGUGUAAAUUUCUUUGCAUAUUUUCAGUUAUUGGCUGGUUCUCUGGCAUUUCUUUUGCCUAUGAAUGAUAUGAGAAGCACAACGACCAAGGGGCUCAACAUAACCUAAGUCUUUUUUGAGUUUUCCUUAUAUUUUUCUUUUUACUAGUAAUAAUAACAGUACAUAAAGAUUGAACUAUGAUUUGUUUAUCUGCAGUGGUGUUUGGACUAGUUGGGUAACGACGCAGAUUCAUUUUAUCAAGUUUCUAUAACUAGUAAAUUCAUUUACGUGAAUUUUGAGUAAAAUUCUCUAUUUGAGUAUGACGAGGUUUAAACCUUAUGCGUAAAUUUCUUUUCAGCUGGUGGCUGGUUUUUUGGCAUUUCUUUUGCCUAUGGAUGAUAUGCAAAGCACAACGACCAAGGGCUCGAUAUAACCUUAAGUCUUUUUUGAGUUUCCCUUAUAUUAUUCGUUAAUGGUUUUACAUAAGGAUUGAACUAUGAUUUGUUUAUCUGCAGUGGUGUUUUGGAUUAGUUGGGUAACGUCGCAUAUUCCUCUUAUCAAGUUUCUAUAGUUAGUAAAUUCAUUUAUGUCUAUAUGAGGAUGACAAGUUUUGAACCUUCUGCGUAAAUUUCUUUGCACCUUUUCAGCUGGCGUUCUCUAGCAUUUCUUUCUCCUAUGGAUGAUAUGAAAAGCAGAAGGACCAAGGGGCUCAACAUAACCUAAGUCUUUUUUGAGUUUUUUUUUCUAUUUUUCUUUUUCCUGGUAUUGAUGACAGAACAUAAGGAUUGAACUAUGAUUUGUUUAUCUGCAGUGGUGUUUGGAUUAGUUGGAUAACGACGCAUAUUCAUCUUACAAGUUUCUAUAACUAGUAAAUUCAUUUACGUGAAUUUUGAGUAUAAUUCUCCAUUUGAGUGUGACGAGUUUUAAACCCUUUUUGUAAAUUUACUUUCAGCUGGUGCCUGGUUUUUUGGCCUUUCUGUUGCCUAUGGAUGAUAUGAAAAGCACAACAACCAAGGGCUCGACAAAACCUUAAGUCUUUUUUGAGUUUCCUUCUAUUUUUUUAUGGUACUACAUAAGAAUUGAACUAUAAUUUGUUUAUCUGCAGUGGUGUUUGGAUUUGUAUAACGUCACAUAUUCAUCUUAUCAAGUUUCUAUAAUUAGUAAAUUCAUUUAGGUCUAUAUGAGGAUGACGAGUUUUGAACCUUUUGCGUUAAUUUCUUUGCACCUUUUCAGCUGGAGUUGAGUUGUGAACUUGUUUGGAAGUUUUGCAUGUAAUCUCCUUUGAGCCUAGACUGCAAUGUCUCUUAUGCUGAAAUCUUUGAAAUCAGAAUAAUGAACCGGAGUGACAACAAUGCUCUAACGCUGAAAUUUUUGAAAUCAGUAUAAUAAUGAUCCUGAAAUUGUUUAAAUGCUUCACUUUUGUUUCAACAAUCUCCAUUUAUGUUUCUCAUUCUUCGAGUUUUGAAAUCAGCAUUUAUUUGUUUGCAGCACAUUUUGUCUUUAUUUGAGGUUUCUCUUUCAGAUUGUUAACUCAACCAGUGAUGGAAUAUAGUGGGACGGCUAACAUGUCUUAUCAACAAGUUUGAGUGUUUAUCCAAAACCAUUCCAUUCAUUUCUUUUUCAUAUUUGUACAAUUUGGAAAAGGAUUGUAUCCGAGAAAGAUAAUGGAGUUUUGGAGGUGAAUUUGUUAAUUUUAAUCAGAUUGACGAACGUCUCUUGGACAGGAUUUCGUCUCUAUUUGAUAUUUUCAGAUUUGAUCACCAAACAUAUGGAUUUUCUGUUGUCAUUUGUUUUUGUGCAGUGAUAUUUGCAUAAUGUUUCAUGCUACGUCUAAUCAAUCAUGUUGUUUGGAAGUUUGUAUGACUCUUGAUAACAGGCUUUACAAGAGUUUGGGAGGAUUAGUAAUUUCAGAGGUGAUACCUAUUAUCAUAUUUGUGUCUUGUAGUGUGAACUGUUCAAGUUUAUUCAUUUGCAAGAGGGAUCAAUUCUCCACUUUUGAUGCAGAAGAUUAGAUGGCUAACAUUAUUGUCCGUUCAUUUGAUCCAGCAAGAGCCCAUUCUAGAAAUGUGGUCUUCUCUUUAAAGGCCUUUAGUAUUUUACUAUCAUAAAUAGAUAUUAUUUCUGGUUCUAUUGUUUUGACUGAGAGGAAGUCACAAGUCUUGUUGAUAUAUGAUGAUCUCUUAUCAUUUCCCCUUAAUUCUUGGUUGUUGUUUUGACAGGGUAGGGUUUGGGGAGUCUGGGUUUUUGGAUUAGGAAUUGUCCAACCACCAACAAUGUGUGUACAAGUUUGAAAUAUAUGAAUGAAGGCUGUCAAGGAAAAUGAUUACAGCAAUGAAGGCUAAAAAAAAAAUUGCGGAAGCAGAGUCUCCUAGAUCAGGAUAUAUAUAUGCUAGAGUGGAAAGAAAUAGAUGAAAUAUAUUUCUGAGAUAUCUUACAAAUGUGAUUACAGUCUCUAUUUAUAGACUGUUUUACAACCUAAUUAAAGAAAGAAAUAAUAGGUGAUGAAAGCCAGAAAUAAAUAAUGAGUGUUUAAAGCUGUACAAAUCAAAUAAAAUAAAAUCACUAACAAAUCUGUACUAAUAAAUAUAAAAUGGAAUCUGCACUUAAUUAUAACAUAAUUCUCCUGAUUAUGCAACAGUUAGUUUGAAUUUUAUUGAAUUACAUAAAUGCUUUAUUAAUAUGAUCAUUUGAUUAUAGCAGAAUUGUAGUGGUUUUUAUAAAAUUAUUCUUAGUAGUUAUAUAAUUAUUCAUGGUUGUUAUAUUACCUUUAAUAGUUAUUGUUGUUGGAAAAAUAAUCUAGAAGUCCUUUGUUGGCUAAUGAUUCUCUAACAUUUUUUUAAAAAUUUUAUAGUAGUUGUAUUUUGAUUUGACAAUUUAGUUUAGUUUCUUUUAUUGACUCUUAUAGCUAAUUAAUAUUGACUUUCAUUAGAAUGUUGAUGAUGAUGUGAAUGAUGUGUUUUAAUGUUGAUUGUGUUGUGAUUCUAUUUUAUAAAAUAUUGUUUUAUGGUAAUCAUUAAUCAAUUGCUUUGUAUACACUCAUUUAUCAUAUUGCUGUAUGACAAAUCUUAAAGCCCUCUAAGAGAAAGGUUCCUGGGUUGCUUUGUGGAAAGUUUUAAACUCGCUCGCAAUGGUAAAGGAUGGAUCAAUGUGCUUUUAUGCAAGAAUUAUUAGUAAAUUCAUUUACGUGAAUUCUUAGUAUAAUUCUCUAGUUGAUUAUGACGAGUUUUUAACCUUUUCAGCUUAUGGCUGGUUCCCUAACAUUUCUUUUGCCUAUGGAUGAUAUGAAAAGCCCAACAAUCAAGGGCUCAACAUAAAGAAAGUCUUUUUUGAGUUUCCCUUCUAUUAUUCUUUUUGCUGGUAUUGAUAACAUAAGGAUUGAACUAUGAUGUGUUUAUCUGCAAUGGUGUUUGGAUUAGUUGGGUAACAUCGCAUAGUCAUCUUAUCAAAUUUCUAUACUUUGUCUUAAUAAGAGUGUUUAUUGUUUCCUUCAAUUUUUGGACUAUCGUUUCCUUCAAUUAAAUUUGGUGUUUGUGUUCAUUCCUUUUCAGCAAGUCCUGAGUCUUUGAGAUUUCUUUUGGUGGUUGAGGAACUACAGAAUGGUUGUAGAUCAGGAUAUCCUAAUUUCUCUAUACUUGAUCACCGAACAUUGAAUAGUGAUUUGUUCUUAUGCAGUAAACAUAAGGAUUUAAUUUUGAUUAUUUUCGUAUAAUGUCCUUUAUCUCAUGGAGUAUGUUAUGUGGCAUAAUAGUUUAAUUGUAAUUUGCUUCUUUGCAGCGUGAAAUUGGCUUACCGUAUUGCAUCUUAUGGGGUAUGUUAUGAGUGACCGUGUCUCCCUUAAUUUUUUAAUUUAUCUAAUAGUCCUUUAUUACCUGUUAUAGUUUUGUUGAAUUAUUGUUCUUUAUAGGGAUGUGUGGUAAUUAGCAAGAGCUCAGGACUAUUUGGUUUCAAUUUUUUUAUAACAAAACUUUAUUUUGCCUUUAUUAGUUUCCUUCAUUGACAAAUGAAUUUUGAACUUGGUUCUUGCAAAGCAUCAAUGUCCUUGCCUAAUUUGUGUUUCAAGAUUAUUGAUCUUUCGUAUUGAAGUUCUGAAAAUUUAGGUGGAGCAGUAUUGAAAAGAUGGAUCUUGAAGUUAUUCCUUUCAUUUUAGUAGUGUAAUUAGCAAGAGCUCAGGAUUAUUUGCCUCCAUUCUUUGAUUACAGAACUUUUUAUUUUGUUUGUUCCUGCAUCGACAAAUGAAUUUUGAACUUGUUCUUGCAUAAUUUAUCAUUGGGAGGAAAUGAAUUGGUGGUUUAGGUUUGGGAAACAGUGGAUCGGGACCCUGUGGAAAUUUAGGUUUUGUUCUAUGUUUAUUAUUUCUUUGCUGUUAUUAUUCACGGAUAAACUUGUGGACUGGGAAUGUUUACCUCUAUAUGACAGGCACUGUAAACGUCUGUGUCAGCUAUUUAAUUUUCUCUUUCUUGUCCACACUCAGACAUUUCUUUCAGCAACUGAGUCAUUUAAAAGAGAGUUUCGUUUCUUUUCAUGUUCUUUAUUGUCAAAAUAACCUUUCUUUCUUUCUUAUCAGCUAUAGUAUUUAGUUUCACUGUGAUCUCGGGAUGUGUUAUUUGGAAGUGAUGUGGUUAUUCAUCCAAGGAUUAAUGUGUUAUUUGGAAGUGAUGUGGUUAUUCAUUCAAGGAUUGAGUUCCAUUCUCUUCGACUUGCUUUUGUUUGUUGUGUUCAUUGCUAUCAAACAACUUUCUUCCUUUUAAAUGUAUGGAGUCUAUUUUUUUAAGAUGAAAUCCCCACUAAAUGUAAUGUUUUUUUUUUCUUUCUUUUUCAUCAUUGCCUAGUUAUUUCUGUUUCUCAUAGGCUUGGUCUCAUCCCUUCAACUUGCAUUUGUUUGUGUUCAUUGCUAUCAAACAGCUUUCUUCUUUUUAAAUGUAUGGAGCCUUUUUUGCUACGUCUAGAUGUUGAUUUUCUUGUGUUCAUUCAUUUUUAGGUGUUGAUUUGUUCGUGUUAAUUCCUUUUUAGCAUCUCGAGACUGCCGGAAUGGUUGAGGAUUAAAAUCUGAAAUUGUUUAGAACCACCAAUAAUUCAGGAUAACCUUCAACUUUGUUUUAGGUGUCAUUUGUUUUAUGUCUCUCUUUGUUUUAAAUGUCUUAUUGUCUCUAUACUUCAACUUUAUGAGCCGUUUGUAGCCUUCCUGAAUUCUUGGGGUGUACAGGACAAACAUGCAACAGAUGUGAGGUAGGAAAGAUGUGAGUAUCCUUGAAGCUUGAAUACUGGCAGGAGAUCCUUGAAGCUUUAGGUUUUGGUAUCCACACAUAUUUUUGUCUUUAAUUGGGACUGGCUAUUUGAAUUUCUCUGGUUUUUGAAUUCCUUCAAUUCAUUAAUUCAUUUUGUCCUUUCUUAAAUUCUGGGUCUUUAUUACCAAUAUCUAUUUGAAUUUAAAUAUAGUUCUUAAAUUUUUUAUGUAUAGGUGUUGAUUCGUUUGUGUUCAUUCCUUUUUAGCAUGUAAGACUGGUUGAGGAUUAAAAUCUGCAACUGUACACGAAAAAACAAGCAACGGAUGUGAGCUAGGAUAUCUGAAUACUGGAAGGACAUGCUUGAUUCUAUAGGUUAUCCAUACUCUUUGAUGACAGAUGUCUACUUGAGUUUGGAUGUAGUUAUUUAUUUGAUGACUGAGAUCUAUCAUAUGUAACUGUUUAUCUGCUUGUGUUAGUUCCUUUUCAGCAGGGGAUUCUGGUUUAGGAUAAAAAAACAUAAAUUUGAAUAUUGUUCUUGUCCGAUUAUCAAAAUAUGUAAAACCUAGCUAUUUGAUGUUGAUUCUUUUUUAGCACAUUAAAGGUUAAUAAUAAUACAAUACUCAGGGAAGAUGUCUCCUCUUUAUUUGAAACUUUGUAGAUUGAGCAUAUUUUUCGAGACUGAUAUAUGAGGUAGGAUGUGGAAACACUGGGAUUUGUGAAGCUUUAGGUUUUGUUAUCCUUACAUUUCUUAUGUUUUUAUUUGUGACUAACUAAACUUCUUGUUUGGAUGCUAAGUUUUGGUUGGAUUCAUUGCAGACCUUGUAGUGUGUCUGACAGUUCUUAUUGGUGUAUAUGUAGCAAUCACUAGCAGACUAUUAGAGGUCCUGUAAUUUGGGGAGGAUUUGUCUGACAGAAUUUCUAACAACUUAAUAUGAAGUACUGAAUUAAUAGUGAAAAAAAAGAUAAAGAAAAAAUAUCAUGGCCAUUAAAAGUUUAUGUUUCUUGUCCUGUUCAGCCAUGGCACUUGUCAGUGAGCUCUUGCUUCUUUCUCUAUUGCCCCAUAUGCAUACUUUUUCGCAUUUCUUACUCUUUUUUUAAGUUGUUCAUUUUUAAGUAAUUUAGGCUUCUCAUACUGGUUUCAUAGUGAAAUUUGAGCCUUUUACAUGGUGCCAUUGAAAUUAAGGAGGGAAUUAAUGAUCUUUAGUUUUAUAGUACUGAAUUAAUUUGGAUUUGCUUAGGUGUAGCAAAUUUGAAAGGUCAUUUUCUUAGUUAUUACUUCAUUUACUAAAUUAUCAAGAGCAUUGAACAAUUUGAUUUUGUAGUGUUUUGUUUGCUGCCUUGACAAAUGAAUCUUGCAUUCUAUUGUUUUUAGUAAUUUUGGGUUACAUUCUGAAUAUGACAUAUGAUGAUCUCUUAUAUCUUCCAAAAUGAGAAUGAUCUCCAACAUUAGAGCUGUAUUUAGUUCUAUCUCCAAUGUGAGAAUGAGAAAAUUGAGAGCUGUAUUUAGUUUUAUCUCCAAUUAUCUCUAAUAUUAGAAUGAGAAACAACAGUAGUUGAAAUGUUUUCUUGUAAUCUAUCUUCGUGUGCUAUGAUUCAGUUCUCUCUCCAUAUAUGAGAAUAAAAAAUGAGAAAGAGAAACAACAUUAUUUGGAAUGUUUUGUCGUAAUCUUCUUGCACUAUGAUUUUGUUCUCUCCCAAUAUGCGAAUGAGAAAAUGAAAAACAACAGUAUUUAGAAAGUUUUGUCGUAAUCUUGCGCUAUGAUUUGGUUCUCUCCUCAAUAUGCAAUGAGAAGAUGAGAAACAACAUUCCUUAACUUGUAAUUGAUUUUAUAUUAAUUGUUUAACUAUUCACUUCAUGUUUUUCUAAUUUGAAGAUAUCUCUUUACUAAAAACAAUGUAAUUAAUUUUAUAUUAAUUGUUUAGCUAUUCA
rnacentral:lncRNA from 1 species